rnacentral:lncRNA from 1 species
GGACAGACCUGUUCAUUAUCUUCAUUCAUCAAGUGAAAUUAUACAUACGUAAACAACCAACACGGCUAGCUAGCUAUGCCUCCCUGCCUGUCACUUGUGGUAUCCUGUUGCACUGUCUUGCAAUACAGCGAGCAGAGCACUAGUGUAAUAAUAAUCUCAUACAUUGUGGUAGUAUUCCUUUGUACUUUUGGCUAAACAUCACACCUAAUGUGCUACGAACCACUACUACUAACAUGAGGGCUAGUUGGCUAUUAUGGUGGCGGUGGCUUGGCUUGGCUUGCCAGGAGCUUUGGUGGCACAUCAAUGGCGGGUUGGUGGUAAUAGUAUUGGUUGGUAGUACUAGUAGUAGUAAUAAUAAUCAACUAACAGUAACUAAUGCAUAUGGUGGAGAUAAUAGGAGGGGGGGCCUAACGUAUCUGACACUCUGUUUUAAAAAAAGCCUUGGGGUUGCUAGUAGUGGUAGUAUUUUUUGUCCUUCUCCUCUUGUGGUUUGAAUCAGCUGGCACCAUCAAAUUGAAGAGAGGUGAAGGUUGAAAAAGUAAAAAAAAAAAAAGGGGGGGGGGGGGGGGNNNNNNNNNNNNNNNNNNNNNNNNNNNNNNNNNNNNNNNNNNNNNNNNNNNNNNNNNNNNNNNNNNNNNNNNNNNNNNNNNNNNNNNNNNNNNNNNNNNNNNNNNNNNNNNNNNNNNNNNNNNNNNNNNNNNNNNNNNNNNUCACUCUUUUUUCCUAUGUUGCACUAUUCCUUUUUCUUUGCUGCUAGUAUUCCUGCACAACAAAAGAGAUGGCAAAACACAGAGAAGGAUCCAAGGUUAAGACACCAUCAUUCCAAUAAGUGAAAAAAGCAUAUCAUGAUUUUACCAGGGAGCAACAAAGUGUUGAUAGACAUGGUAAAAGAGAGGCGGUGCUUACUAUGAUUAGGCAGUAGUAGUAUCACUCACUUCCAUUCAGCGCUACUUUACAUCCCGAUCGCGCCGUGAUCGGAGGACAGCCUGCAUCCAUGAUACUCUCAGAAAACCAAUCAUGCUACCCCACAACACACGAUUUGCAAUAGUAAAUGGAACCAUCAACUAUGUACAGGCCAUACAGAUAGUGUUAAGCACACCUGGACAUGGGGAAGAAGUAAGGUUUUGGUGAAGGUAUGUCCAAUGCAGGGGGCAGGAGAUGGUUAGUAAUGCCGCCAUUCCUGGUGCCAUUGCCGUUGUAGGCUGCGUUGCAACCAGUCGAAGCGGUGGCGGCGGCGAUCUCCGCAUCGGUUCGCGCGAAAGCAUCACGGGCGAAUGCCCCCGACUUGGUUGGCGACGCGAACGGGCUGUCCGGGAGAUUAUGCUCCGCGCUGCAGGAUUAGCACAAGGGGCUAAAAGAUCAGUUUGGUGAAAUGCUUACUUCCCUGCACUGCUGGAUGAAAGCUAAGUGUGAUGAAAGGAACAAAUGGUGAUGAUGAUGGUGAUUUGUUUAGCGUUAAAUUCCACCUUUGGUCACUGUCAGUGUUAGGGCUGGUGGUGGAAUCGCCUGAGGUUUCAUCCUUAUCAGCUCCGUUGACCGCAUUCUUGUGAGGAAAAAGGAAGCCGCAGCCAUUGCCUUGCUCCCCUGUUACAAGAAGAUCAGCACAGCAAAUGUGAGCAACACUGCAUCUGUUGUGGCCAGGUAAAUAAGCUGUUCUCUGUUGGCCACACACAGGUAAUACCGGAAUCGGGCGGCGACUCGAGGGUAGGGGUGGUGGCAGUCGUGUGGGUGGGGCUGAACGGCUUGGCGAUGGGAGUCGGCGCGGUGGCGGCGGCGGCAGCCGCGGCCGAGCGUGUCUUGAGGUCGAGCAUCUGCAGCCCCAUGAGGCGCCGGCUCUGAAGCUCGAUCGCCUGCUGCAGCUCCACCGCCUGCUGCUGCUCCUCCAGCUUCCUCCUCAGCAGCAUCUCGUUGGCGCUGUUGGAGUGCUGCAGCAUCCUCGCACCUGGAAUCCAAUCCAGCACACACUCACUUAUCAUGCAUCAAAACAAUCAACAAACACUGAAGCUGCAGCUAGCAACUGAAUGUCACAAUGACGAACCAAUCUGGUGGAGAUCGAAGGGGUCUCUGGCGUCCAGCCCGGUUGGAGACCCGCAGCUGGAGAAGUCCACUCUCUCGCCCUGCUGCUUCCUGCAGAGCAGCAGCGGAAAAUAAAUGGUCAUGGGGAUGUUGUGGUUAGUUACUGCUGCCGGAAGCAAGCGGCAAAGAUGGAUCGCCAUGGGCUUGCCUGAACUUGUCGGGGACCUUUCCCUUCUCCUUGUAGGGCUUGACGAGCACGCGCGCGUCGCAGAUGAAGUGCGGGUUGCCCUUGGCCAGGAUCAGCUUCACCGUCUCCGGGUAGACGAAGGUGACGAACCCGAACAUGCGCUUCUGCUGGUAGGGGAUGCGCACGUCGUGGACAGGGCCGUAGAUGCUGCGGUUCGGAGGAAGAGCAAGGUUAAUACCGGCGAGGCUUGCAGCCGGAGCGGAGGUAGAGCUGUGGUGUGCGGGCGAGCACGGUGAAGUUACCUGAAGUAGUUGGAGACGUCCUCCUCGCGGAAGGUGCUGUCCGCCGGGAAGGUGAGGUAAAUCUGCCGGGACCCCGGGUUCAUCAUGCUGGCGAAGUCGCCGCGGUCGAGACGGGGGCGGUUCAUGAACUUGUGCGCCUCGUCGCCGCCCAGCAUCAACGCCGCUGCGGCAGCCGCGGCCGCGGCCCUGCGAAUCGGAGAGCAACCGGUGAGCUGCCGGCCGGUAGAAACGAGAGCGAGGAGCUCGUAGGUGGCGAGGGUGGUGGGUAUUUACCUUUGGCCGUCGUUUUGCUGCUGCUGCUGCUGCUGCAGGAGCAAGCUGAGGCACUUGCUCGCCGCGGAGGGGGAGCCAGGGAGGGAGCCGGUGGGCGAGUAGGCGAAGCCGGCGGCCGCGGCCAGGCGCUGGGACUUGGAGCGGAGGAGGAAGUCCUGGCACUGUUGCUCCACGGCGGCCUGGUCCAUCUUCGCGCCGGCGAGGUCGUCGGGGAAGCCGCCGUGCACGAACCGGCAGGCGCUCCCGUUUUUGCAGUACCCGCGCGCGUAGUAGAGGCACGGCUUCCAGCCGAGGCCGUCGCCGCCCCCGAAGCAGAGCUCGCUCACCGACGCGCUCCUGCGGUGCCCCGGCCCGCCGUUGGCCCACCCGGCGCCGUACGGGAAGAGCCCUCCGUCGCCGCCGCUGGGGCUGCGGCACUCGCCGUUGUCGAACAGCGGGAGCUGGCGCCCUCCCCCGCCCAUGCCUCCCUCGCUGAGGAACGCGAGCUGGUCCUGCAGGUGGAGCUCGUCGAGGAUCAGCGAGUCCCCGCCCCCGCCGAAGAAGGGCGACUGCGGGCCGUUGGCUGGACUCAUCAGCUCCUCCCCGACGCCCGCCAUCUCCUCCGCGGCGCUGCCAUUGCUGACGCUGUUGCUCCUCGAGAACACCGGGGGCGGGGCCCACGAGGAGGGCGACGAGACCGAGAGCGGCGAGGGCGCCGUGCCUCCGCCGCCGCGGCCGGAGUUCUGGCGCGAGAGCAUGAAGGGCGAGUGGCCGGUGGCCGCGGCGGAGGUGGGCGUGCCGGGGCCCGAGGACGCCGGGAGCAGGCCGAGGUCCUUGCGCGCCUUGGCCAUGACGGCGAGCAGCAGCGCCUCCGGGCCGAAGGCGAGGCGUAUCAUCUCCUUCUCGCCGUGGUCCUGGAUGAGCAGCAGCCCCAUGAUCUUGGCCGCGUGGUCCGGGUCCAGCCCCUGGAUCCGCGCGAACACCACCUUGGUCGCCUCGUAGGCGUCCAUGCCGAUCGACGAAGCCCGCUCAACCAACCCUAGCCCGCAAACAACCUCACACCCCCUUCCUCCUCCUCCCUCCUUCCUCGCACGACAACAACAACCAACGACUAGCUAGCUAGAGAGAUGGCUCGAGCCGGAGACGAGCGACUCCAUGAAUCAAUCCCCAGAGGUCCUUCGCGGGUUAGCUUGCUAGCGAGCGAGCGGGCUAUACUAGUUGCAGCAGCGGCACGAGGGUGGUGCGCACCUUCCCUUCCCUUCCUUGGCCCUCGCGCUGUAUCCCAAUCUCCCUAUGUAUAAGCUGGGCUGGCCGCCGUCCCUUUUCCCCGGGAGAGGACGAGGGGCCUCGCCAGUGACGGAAGAAAACUCGCGGGGGCGUCCCCGCAAAAUGCCACUGCCUGGCUGCCGCGGUCUGUCCUGCGGUGUUUUUAUCUGCUGCUGCGGUGUUUUUGGUUUGGGGUUUGUUUCAGGCGGGAUAGAUCUGGAUCUCCGUGGCCCCCAUUUAUAAAACCCGAUCCACCGCCUCUGUCACUGACCGCCUCGCUCUCGCCCUUUAUUUUCCGCCUUUUCUUUUCUCUGCCUUCUUCCUGUGCUCUCUGGACGGACGGACGGAUAGGAAUACCAAACAGUGCCGUCGUUCAAUCAAUCUGACGGUAAGAAACUACUGUGCUGCGCGGUAAUUUCGUGGCCGGGUGGAUCUGUCUGUGAUUGAUUGACCGGAGCGGCCGCGAUCUGGGGUGCUGACCGGGAGGGGCCCCGCGCGGGCGGCGCCCACUCCGGUCGCCGUCCCGGCCCGCUUUGUCCUGCUCCCUCGCCGCGGCCGCUGCUGCCGCUGCGGCGGCCUUUCGCGAUAAGAAUGGCGCCCGGCCCGACAUUUUUAUACUCCGUUUGAUACCCCGUAGCCAAGCUAAAGCGGGAGCUAGCCUCGCCUCGCCUCGCUCGCCUUUCCGUCGCUUCACAAGGUUUGUUUACUCCCAGAUCCUUGUCGUUUGCCCCACUGCCAUGUACGAGUAAACACGAGUAUUCUUCUCUCUUUUCGCUGCUUCAGAGAUUAUUGUUGUCCAAGUAAUUGUGCUGGCCCUAACUAGCGCCAAUUACUUAUUUUGGUUCUGCAAACACGAACGAGUAGCUUUUUCUGGGACGAGCCGCACGGAGCGGGAGCAUCCCUAUCGGGGCGUUCCCCGUCAUCCUCCCUCGCCCCCGCUCGCCGUCGCUUUCCUCCUCCCUCUCGGCCUCCACUGGAGUGAUCAAACCCAAAAAAAUGGAGCGUGAAAUACUCCCCUGUCACGCACAGUCGAAUGAUAAUCCAGCAUACGUGAAAUGAAAUGAAAAACAAAUGAUGCGGAUAAACUGCAAUUUCCACGUCACUCUCCGUAGGGCCCACCUGCUCUGUUUGCUUGUUGUUGGGCGCGCGACGGCCGCUGUCUGUCCCCCGGCCGCUGCCGCGUCAGCCGGUGCUACGUGCGUGCCCGAUCGGAUCAACUCGCGACCGUGCGGGUCGGUCUCCCGGCCGCCGGUCAUCCGUUCGCGCGGCCGCGGCGAGAGCGCUUGGAGCUCACGAUCGUGGUCGAGGCCGCGAAACGAAUUCGGUCGCAGGGGCAGGGGGAAAAGCCGAACGAAAGCCAAGUGUGACCGGCGCUGAUGCCCACGGAUGAUGGAUGAUAUGGCGCGAAAAGACGCGACGACCCUGUGGGGGAAUGCACGGGGGCUUUUGCCGCCCGCGCGCGCCUGGUUGGCCGCCGUUGCUGCUCUCUUUUCACCGCCUUUCGCGUGCACGCGCGCUGGCCUUUGCCCUGCGCUGCGCGCGCGCAGGUCGCGGCGAGGACUGGCAGUGGCAUCCCGUGCGCGCGCACAUAAAUGGAGGCCCUGCCGUUUCCGCUCGCUCCAUCGUUCCUUCACACCCGGCGCUGGGCUUCAUUCCGUUUCCUACAAACUGAUGGCAUCAUGGUGGAGGCCAGCAGCCGUGUUUUUUUUUAUAUAUAUAAGGUUUUGGAGGGCCGCGUCGCCGUCUGCGUCUCUUUCACCCAUUCACUUCCUGCUCAUACCGUAUGGAAGUAGUGAUGAUUGGACCUGGCGGAAAUGUCUUUACGAGUAAGCAGGAACAAUCUUUCGACGACUGCUGCUACUACCGGAAUUGGUACGCUGGCUGCGCCACAGCUGGGGAAAUACGACGUCGCGUGACCAUGUAUGUCAUGUCAUGUCGCCUGUCUUGGACGGAACGGGGCGCAGCCGAUACCGCGCAACCAUACGUACGUACGUACUCGGGUCGUAGGUACGUGCACACUGCACAGGCAGGUGCAUGGCCAUUCGUCAAAUGCACGGCGGCCCGUCCACAGCACCUUUGCCGCCCUGUGGCCACGGCGGCACAUGCCGUAUUGAAUCCGCGCUGUGCAUGGCCGCGUCUGACAGCGAGACGGACGGGCCACGAUCGCUUGUCCGCUAGCGCAGUUCAAAUCGUCUUUUGAACUCGAUCUUUCGAUUAGUCUAUGAUUUUGCUUGCGUCGUCACGCUGUGACAGGCGCGGUGUGGAGUACGUACGGGUGAGCGUUCACGUAAAAAUUGCUUGUUUACGAUACGGCGGGAGUAGAUUGGGGAGUGGGGCCCGCCGGCGAGUACGAAAAAGAAAGGGAGGAAAAGGCGCCUCCCAGUUUCAGAGCCUCACAUGGAGGGAGGGGGCGUGGCUCGCCCCGAUCCGGUGUCCCGCGUCGCCGUGCGGGCCGGCGUGUGGCCGUGGACAGCGUGUCGACUGUCACGUCGGCUGUUCCGACCAAGUGCCCACUUGCUCUCUCUUCUUCCUUUCUCCUUUUGGUUUCGUGAACGAAAAUAUGCCCGGUGGCUCCGUUGCUUGCCCCGCGAACUGAGCGCACGCGAGUACGAAAAAAAAAACAUGUCGUUGUCUGAAAACAGCCAGCGAAUUUCGAUGAAAACGUACCUGAAUCUUUUGGUCUGCUUGGGUCUCCUCUUGAGAUACAGUGCGUGCGUAUGGCGUGAGGUUUAUCUGUGGUCCAUACUGUUACGGAUGAUUUUGUAUAUACACAUGUCCGGAAAUUUGUAGGCAUAUCAAUGCUGAAAAGAGAGCAUAUCUCUCCAUAAUAAUAAAGCAAAUAGGGUUUCUGGUCGUCCGUCGUGGCAUUUUUGCAAAAAGGUCCUUCCGUUUUCUGUUCAUAAACCCGCAGUUCAAUUUUAAGUCACAACGAACCGUCUUCCGUCAUUUUGUUCUUACACAAACACCCCUGCAGUUUUGCCUAUUCGACCCGCAAACCACUCGCGCAGUAUCCGGAUCGGAUCAACGCGGCGGCUCGAGCGGCUGGCAUGGUGCAAGGUCGACCUGUCGUGGAAGCACGACCCGGCCAUGAAGAAGCCGGCGGAAGCACGUGGUGGUGGCGUGUGGGAGGGCCAGAGGAAGGUGCCGGCGCUGGCGAGGCGGCUGUCGGUGCCGCCGCCGCCCGGCAGGCCGGCGGCGAGGGGCUUCUCGAGGGCCGUCCGACCGGAGGACGGCCCGUUCCUCGCGGCGUACCUGGCCUGCACCAAGAGCGGCGGCGACGGCGCGAAGGAGAAGGCCAGCGGCGCCGCGAGGGAGCCCAACAAGGUUCAGAGGCGGUGGGGCGUGCUCGGGCGUGGGCUCGGCGUGCUGUCCUGCAAGCGGUCCAAUGGCGUCGUCGAGCAGAGCAUGGUGAGGCUGGCCAAGCUGCCCGAGCUCCAUCCCUGGGAUGCUUAAUCGAUCAUCAUCAUCAUCAUCAUCAUCUUGUUCUUACUCUCUUUCUUUGGUACCAUCAUCUUGUUCUUACUCUCUUUCUUUGGUAUACUUUGCAAUAGUUUCUUUCUGGUCAAGGACUCAAGGUUAGUUAGUUAGCAGUGGUGUGACAAAAUCUGGUGUCCAAUAGAAGUAGAAACUUUGAUUCAACAACAGAGAAAAGUUUCACACUUAAUUUGCAUGUGUGGUGAAGUUCAGAGAUUUUGACAGCAAUCUUCAUCUUAAUUCCUAGAGUCACAUAUGCAUUUCGUUCCUUCUUCUCCUCUGUGAUGAUGGAUGGAUGGAUUGAUUGAUUGAUCUCAUGACACUUACUCUCCGCCCUGCACCUUGCAACUUUCUUCCUGUCAUUGUCAAUCCACCAAACAGUGACAUGCAUAUACAGGUUGACCGAGACUUGGAACAUUUUCAUAACAUUCAAGAUUCUUUAAGAAGUGUUCCAAUUUUUAAGUAAACCUAAAUUUUUAUUAGAAAUAAGGAAAUUUUCAUGUUUAUCAGAAAAGCCCAAAAAAAUCAUUGACAAACUAUUCCAUGCAAAACUGUCAUUGCAUCUGAUGAAGAAUGCUAAGUUGGCUUCUUCACGUCCAAACUUGAUUAUACAAAAAGCAAUAAUCAGUUUUACCUUAUUAUUGAUGUCUACUAAAAUGGUACACAGUGCAAUAUAAAGCUGGUUGUACCUUUUUCUUCGCCCGAUGCAACGCACGGGCAUUUGUACUAGUAAUACUUAUCCUUUUUGCAUUGAGGCUUGUACCGAUCGACCACCGUGAGACGCCGCGUCUGAGAUGAUUCGAUGAAAAUAUUGGGGGUGUUCAUAGAUUGGUUCUGAUAAAACACUAGGUGUGUGAAUACCUAAAUAUACGUAGAUCAUGGACCUUGUUGGCACGACCGGCAGCAAACCAAACUGGGGACCGUCUUAAGUUGCAGCUAUUGUUGGGUCACGGUUAGUAAUAAUAUAAGGCUGAUCGUAAUGGAAGUAUCGGUAUCAUGCAUGUUAAUUAGACAAUUUUAAUGAGAUGACAUAGAAUUAAAUAAAAAAAGAAAUGAGUAUCAUAUCAUGAUAUACCGUAUCAUAUUAAAUGUUAUGCUACUAUGUAUCAUGUAUGCCAAUAAAUGAAAUAUUAUCUGAUACUUUCUCCAUCACAGUUUAGAAGGCACCUUUAGAUUUCAUUCAUUUUUAAAAUUGACAAGAAUUAAGGCGCAUUUCAUUUACUACCUAGUACUACAUCAUGCAUGAGUGAUUAAGACCCUUGUCAAUGCUAGUUUCUUAGCACGAUUUCAUAGGCAUUUUGUUGAUGUGGCAUACUAGUUAAUGAAGACAAAGAGUGAUGUUGUAUCUUAGCUAACAUACAACCCUUGCACGUGGCCAUAUGCAAAAAAUGGUUCUAGCCCAAUCACAUGCAUACAUUAUCUCAAAUUAUUAAAUGUAGAUACAACUCAUAAGGCUGACCAUAGUGGAGGGUAUCAUAUAGUAGUAUAAUGCAUAUGAUACUAUUGUAUGAUACUACCUCCAUAAUGCAUAUUAUCAUAAACUAGUAUCAUAGAUGGCAUCGUUUAUUAACAUGCAUGACACAUAGUAGCAUAGCAUUUAAGAUGUUAUGGUAUCUAUCUAUGUUACUCUAACCCUCUCUCUCUUCAUUAAUUGUCUGCCACAUCAGCAUGUUUGCUAGUCCCAAGUAUAUGAUACUACCUAAGUUACUCCCACUAUAGCCAGCCUAAGAAAUAAUGCAUUGGCAUAGUUGUAUCUUAAAUUAUAAUGCUCAUAUGAUAACGUGAUAAGAGACGAUACAUUGGCACAGGCCUAAGAGCAUCUCUAGUAGAACCCUCAAACCCUUAAAUCUAAAACCAGUUUUAAGGGUUGAGAAUUGACCAUUUUUGACACUUUUAAGGGUUGAAAAACAGGGGCAAAGACUAGAACCCUCAAACCCAACCCUUAUAACAGAAUAUUCCGUUAUAAGGGUUGGGUUUGAGGGUUCUAGUCUUUGCCCCAAUCCCAACCCUUAAAACUGUCAUUUCAUAUAUCACACAUUUCAUCACAUUUCAUCAUAAGACAUAUCACAAAUUCAAUCACAUUUGACAUAAAACAAUAACGGAAUCCGACAACGAGUCCAUCUACAUACCAAGUGGCUACAAUUAAUGCCAAUGAAGGAAAAAUAAAAAAAAGUAAAAAGUAAAAAAAAAAUCUCACCAGGGCGGGGCGGGGAUGGCCGGCCGAGGCGGGGCGCAGGCGGGCGGCGUCCGGGGCGGNNNNNNNNNNNNNNNNNNNNNNNNNNNNNNNNNNNNNNNNNNNNNNNNNNNNNNNNNNNNNNNNNNNNNNNNNNNNNNNNNNNNNNNNNNNNNNNNNNNNUUGCUAUUUAACCUCAUCCAAGCACCUCCUCGGUGAAAUCCGAUUCAACUAAAGUUGGAGAAACCGACACUCGCCGGUCAUCUUUGAGCAACGGAGUUACUCGUAGUGAUGAAACCAGUCUCUCGUAAGCGUACGAGUAAUGUUGGUCCGAGCAACGGAGUUAAUUUAGUGGUUUCUGAUGGGGAACGUCGCACGGGAAACAAAAAAUUUCCUACACGCACGAAGACUUAUCAUGGUGAUGUCCAUCUACGAGAGGGGAUUUCCGAUCUAUGUACCCUUGUAGAUCGCACAGCAUAAGCGUUAAGAAACGCGGUUGAUGUAGUGGAACGUCCUCACGUCCCUCGAUCCGCCCUGCGAACCAUCCCACGAACCGUCCCGCGAUCCAUCCCACGAUCCGCUCCGAUCUAGUGCCGAACGGACGGACCUCCGCGUUCAGCACACGUACAGCUCGACGAUGAUCUUGGCCUUCUUGAUCCAGCAAGAGAGACGGAGUGGUAGAUGAGUUCUCCGGCAGCGUCACGAUGCUCCAGAGGUUGGUGGUGAUCUAAUCUCAGCAGGGCUCCGCCCGAGCUCCGCAGAAACGCGAUCUAGAGGUAAAANNNNNNNNNNGUAUGCGGUCGGGUUGCCGUGGCAAAAGUUGUCUCAAAUCAGCCCUAAUAGCUCCAUAUAUAUAGGAGGAGGGGAGGGGAGGCUUGGCUUGAGGCUCAAGGAGCCCCAAGGGCUGCGCCACCAAGGGAGAAGGAGUCCUCCUCCAAUCCUAGUCCAACUAGGAUUGGAAGGUGGAGUCCUUCUCUCCUUUCCCACCUUCUUUUUUUUAUUUUCUCUUUGAUUUUCUAUCUAUGGCGCAUAGGGCCUUCUUGGGCUGUCCCACCAGCCCACCAAGGGCUGGUGCGCCACCCCCAAAGCCUAUGGGCUUCCCCGGGGUGGGCUGCCCCCCCCCUCGUGAACACUCGGAACCCAUUCGUCAUUCCUGGUAGAUUCCCGGUAACUCCGAAAACCUUCCGGUAAUCAAAUGAGGUCAUCCUAUAUAUCAAUCUUCGUUUCNNNNNNNNNNNNNNNNNNNNNNNNNNNNNNNNNNNNNNNNNNNNNNNNNNNNNNNNNNNNNNNNNNNNNNNNNNNNNNNNNNNNNNNNNNNNNNNNNNNNCGCUCUGAUCUAGUGCCGAACGUACGGCACCUCCACGUUCAGCACACGUACAGCUCGACGAUGAUCUCGGCCUUCUUGAUCCAGCAAGAGAGACGGAGAGGUAGAUGAGUUCUCCGGCAGCAUCACGACGCUCUGGAGGUUGGUGGUGAUCUAAUCUCAGCAGGGCUCCGCCCGAUCUCCGCAGAAACGCGAUCUAGAGGUAAAACCGUGGAGGUAUGUUGUCGGGCUGCCGUGGAAAAAGUUGUCUCAAAUCAGCCCUAAUAGUUCCAUAUAUAUAGGAGGAGGGGAGGGGAGGCUUGCCUUGAGGCUCAAGGAGCCCCAAGGGCUGCGCCACCAAGGGAGGAGGAGUCCUCCUCCAAUCCUAGUCCAACCAGGAUUGGAAGGUGGGGUCCUUCUCUCCUUUCCCACCUCCUUUUUUUUCUUUUCUCUUUGAUUUUCUAUCUAUGGCGCAUAGGGCCUUCUUCGGCUGUCCCACCAGCCCACCAAGGGCUGGUGCGACACCCCAAAGGCCUAUGGGCUUCCCCGGGGUGGGCUGCCCCCCCACCCUGGUGAACACCCGGAACCCAUUCGUCAUUCCCGGUAGAUUCCCGGUAACUCCGAAAACCUUCCGGUAAUCAAAUGAGGUCAUCCUAUAUAUCAAUCUUCGUUUCCGGACCAUUCCAGAAACCCUCGUGACGUCCGUGAUCUCAUUCGGGACUCCGAACAAUAUUCGGUAACCAACCAUAUAACUCAAAUAUGCAUAAAACAACGUCGAACCUUAAGUGUGCAGACCCUGCGGGUUCGAGAACUAUGUAGACAUGACCCGAGUGACUCCUCGGUCAAUAUCCAAUAGCGGGACCUGGAUGCCCAUAUUGGAUCCCACAUAUUCUACGAAGAUCUUAUCGUUUGAACCUCAGUGCCAAGGAUUCAUAUAAUCCCGUAUGUCAUUCCCUUUGUCCUUCGGUAUGUUACUUGCCCGAGAUUCGAUCGUCAGUAUCCGCAUACCUAUUUCAACUCGUUUACCGGCAAGUCUCUUUACUCGUUCCGUAAUACAAGAUCCCGNNNNNNNNNNGGGAUUCAUAUAAUCUCGCAUGUCAUUCCCUUUGUCCUUCGGUAUGUUACUUGCCCGAGAUUCGUUCGUCAGUAUCCGCAUACCUAUUUCAAUCUCGUUUAUCGGAAAGUCUCUUUACUCGUUCCGUAAUACAAGAUCCCGCAACUUACACUAANNNNNNNNNNNNNNNNNNNNNNNNNNNNNNNNNNNNNNNNNNNNNNNNNNNNNNNNNNNNNNNNNNNNNNNNNNNNNNNNUCCGUAAUACAAGAUCCCGUGACAUACACUAAGUCAUAUUGCUUGCAAGGCUUGUGUGUGAUGUUGUAUUACCGAGUGGGCCCCGAGAUACCUCUCCGUCCCACGGAGAGACAAAUCCCAGUCUCGAUCCAUACUAACUCAACGAACACCUUCGGAAAUAACUGUAGAGCAUCUUUAUAGUCACCCAGUUACAUUGCGACGUUUGAUACACACAAAGCAUCCCUUCGGUGUCAGUGAGUUAUAUGAUCUCAUGGUCAUAGGAACAAAUACUUGNNNNNNNNNNNNNNNNNNNNNNNNNNNNNNNNNNNNNNNNNNNNNNNNNNNNNNNNNNNNNNNNNNNNNNNNNNNNNNNNNNNNNNNNNNNNNNNNNNNNAUAUCAACCUUGGAAACACUUCCAACACGUAUCAUCACCUUGCCUUUAGUUAGUCUCCGUUUAUGCCGUAGCUUUCAUUUCGUGUCACUAAUCACUUAGCAACCGAACCGGUAUCCAAUACCCUCGUGCUACUAGGAGUACUAGUAAAGUACACAUCAACAUCAUGUAUAUCAAAUAUACUUCUUUCGACUUUGCCAGCCUACUUAUCUACCAAGCAUCUAGGGUAGCUCCGCCUCAGUGACCGUUCCCCUGAUAACAGAAGCACUUAGUCUCGGGUUUGGGUUUAGACUUGGGUCUCUUCAUUAGUGCAGCAACUGUUUUGCUGUUUCACGAAGUAUCCCUUCUAGCCCUUGCCUUUCAUGAAACUUAGUGGUUUUACUAACCAUCAACCAUUGAUGCUCCUUCUUGAUUUCUACUUUCACAGUGUCAUACAUCACGAAUCUCUCAAGGAUCAUUGUAUCUAUCCUUGAUAUGUUAUAGUUCAUCACGAAGCUCUCACAGCUUGGUGGCAGUGACUUUGGAGAACCAUCACUAUCUCAUCUAGAAGAUUAACUCCCACUUGAUUCAAGUGAUUGUCGUACUCAGACAAUCUGAGCACACGCUCAACGAUUGAGUUUUUCUCCUUUACUUCAUGGACAAAGAAUCUUGUCGGAGGUCUCAUACCUCUUAACAAGGGCACAAGCAUGAAAUCACAAUUUCAUCUCUUUAGAACAUCUCUUAUGUUCCGUGACGUUUCAAAACGUCUUCGGCGCCUUACUUCUAAGCCAUUAAGUAUUUUGUACUGAACUAUCGUGUAGUCAUCAGAAACGUGUAUGUCGGACGUUCACAACAUCUACAGACGACGCUCGAGGUGCAGCACACCGAGUGGUCCAUUAAGUACAUAAGCCUUCUGCGCAGCAACGAGGACAAUCCUCGGUUUUACAAACUCAGUCUGCAAAGUUUGCUACUAUCAACUUUCAACUAAAUUUUCUCUAUGAACAUAUAAAAACAGUAGAGCUAUAGCGCAAGCUACAUCGUAAUUCGCAAAGACCAUUAGACUAUGUUGAUGACAAUUAGUUCAAUUAAUCAUAUUACUUAAGAACUCCCACUCAAAAAGUACAUCUCUCUAGUCAUUUGAGUGGUACAUGAUCCAAAUCCACUAUCUCAAGUUUGAUCAUCACGUGAGUCGAGAAUAGUUUCAGUGGUAAGAAUCUCUAUGCUAAUCAUAUCAACUAUACGAUUCAUGCUCGACCUUUCGGUCUCAUGUGUUCCGAGGCCAUGUCUACACAUGCUAGGCUCGUCAAGCUUAACCCGAGUGUUCCGCGUGUGCAACUGUUUUGCACCCGUUGUAUGUGAACGUUGAGUCUAUCACACCCGAUCAUCACGUGGUGUCUCUAAACGACGAACUGUAGCAACGGUGCACAGUCGGGGAGAACACAAUUUUUUUUUUGAAAUUUUAGUGAGAGAUCACCUUAUAAUGCUACCGUCGUUCUAAGCAAAAUAAGGUGCACAAAAGGAUUAGCAUCACAUGCAAUUCAUAAGUGACAUGAUAUGGCCAUCAUCACGUGCUCCUUGAUCUCCAUCACCAAAGCACCGGCACGAUCUUCUUGUCACCGGUGCCACACCAUGAUCUCCAUCAAUGUGUCGCCAUCGGGGUUGUCGUGCUACUCAUGCUAUUACUACUAAAUCUACAUCCUAGCAAAAUAGUAAACGCAUAUGCAAGCACAAACGUUAGUUUAAACACAACCCUAUGGCUCGUGCCGAUUGCUGUACCAUCGACGUGCAAGUCGAUAUUAUCUAUUACAACAUGAUCAUCUCAUACAUCCAAUAUAUCACAUCACAUCGUUGGCCAUAUCACAUCACAAGCAUACCCUGCAAAAACAAGUUAGACGUCCUCUAAUUGUUGUUGCAUGUUUUACGUGGUGACCAUGGGUAUCUAGUAGGAUCGCAUCUUACUUACGCAAACACCACAACGGAGAUAUAUGAACUGCUAUUUAACCUUAUACAAGGACCUCCUCGGUCAAAUCCGAUUCAACUAAAGUUGGAGAAACUGACACUUGCCAGUCAUCUUUGAGCAACGGGAUUACUCGUAGCGAUGAAACCAGUCUCUCGUAAGCGUACGAGUAAUGUCGGUCCAAGCCGCUUCAAUCCAACAAUACCGCGGAAUCAAGAAAAGACUAAGGAGGGCAGAAAAACGCACAUCACCGCCCACAAAAACUUUUGUGUUCUACUCGAGAAGACAUUUACGCAUGAACCUAGCGCAUGAUGCCACUGUUUGGGAACGUCGCAUGGGAAACAAAAAAAAUUCCUACGCGCACGAAGACCUAUCAUGGUGAUGUCCAUCUACGAGAGGGGAUAUUCNNNNNNNNNNGCACAACAGAAGCGUUAGUGAACGCGGUUGAUGUAAUGGAACAUCCUCACGUUCCUCGAUCCGCCCCGCGAACUGUGCCGCGAUCAGUCCCACGAUCUAGUGUCGAACGGACGGCACCUCCGCGUUCAGCACACGUACAGCUCGACGAUGAUCUCGGCCUUCUUGAUCCAGCAAGAGAGACGGAGAGGUAGAUGAGUUCUCCGGCAGCGUGACGGCGCUCCGGAGGUUGGUGGUGAUCUAAUCCCAGCAGGGCUCCGCCCGAGCUCCGCAGAAACGUGAUCUAGAGGUAAAACCGUGGAGAUAUGUGGUCGGACUGCCGUGGCAAAGUUGUCUCAAAUCAGCCCUAAAACCUCUGUGUAUAUAGGGGGAAGAGGGGGAGCCUUGCCUUGGGGUCCAAGGACCCCCAAGGGGUUCGGCCGAGCCAGGGGGGGAGUCCUCCCCUUCCAAACCGAAUCCAACUAGGUUUGGAAGGAGGAGUCCUUCCCCCUUUUCCCACCUCCCUUUUUUUUUCUUUUCUCUUUGAUUUUCUUCCUAUGGCGCAUAGGGCCUUCUUGGGCUGUCCCACCAGCCCUCUAAGGGCUGGUGCGCCACCCCCAAGGCCUAUGGGCUUCCCCGGGGUGNNNNNNNNNNNNNNNNNNNNNNNNNNNNNNNNNNNNNNNNNNNNNNNNNNNNNNNNNNNNNNNNNNNNNNNNNNNNNNNNNNNNNNNNNNNNNNNNNNNNUUGUUGUUUUGACCGCAUUUUCAAAUGGGCAUGAAAAAUUCAAAAAAAAAAAAAAAUUGGAAAACCUUCGCAUUGUGUCAUCACAUGUGAUAAAGUUACGAGUAAAAAUAAUAACCUUGUAAUACGAUAAUUAUUUUUAAAAAGUUUUCACAGAAAAGAGGUGUCAUGUGUGAAGAUUGAUGGCUUUCAAGCCAAAUGAUCAAUCUCAUGGCCACAUUCAUGGCAUAGUUUGUUGAAAUGAUCUCAUAUUUUGCAGAAGGGUGCAUGUUGGAAUGACAAACAAUGUUGAUUAAGGAAGUUUUCAUCUUCCUUGUAUGAAAAAAUCAUUUUUCAUUUUUCAAGUGCCCAAAAUGAGUUUUUUUGUGAAGGACCUACCAUAUAUUUGUUUCAAAAUUGGACCAAAUCAUUUUUCUAACAUACUAGGCCAUAUUUAAUGUAAAAUUGACAAAAUGGUUGGGUGUCAAAAUCUUUUAUCCAUCUCUCGUGAAAAAGACAAAUCUAUGUCGAAUCAGGUGGAAGUGGGUCAAAUUUGAACUGCGGCUGCCUUAUAGUUUGCUCUUUAUUUUUUCCAAAAAUCAUUUCUAGGUACANNNNNNNNNNNNNNNNNNNNNNNNNNNNNNNNNNNNNNNNNNNNNNNNNNNNNNNNNNNNNNNNNNNNNNNNNNNNNNNNNNNNNNNNNNNNNNNNNNNNGUAAAGGUAAGGGAGAACCACAAGUGGAACCGAUGAAGACGAGGAUGUGUUACCGAAGUUCCUUCCCUUUGACACCAAGUACGUCUCCGCUGGAGCGGUGUGGAGGCACACUGCUCCCCAAUAAGCCACUAGGGCCACCGUAUUCUCCUCACGCCCUCGCACAAUGCAAGGUGCCGUGAUUCCACUAUAGGUGCCCUUGAAGGCGGCGACCGAACCUUUACAAACAAGGCUGGGGCAAUCUCCACACAAAGCUUGGAGGCUCUCAACAAGACCAUGGAGCUUCACCACAAUGGAAUGUGGCUCCAAGGUGACCUCAACCGUCUAGGGUGCUCAACCACCGAAGAGUGACAAGAUCCGCAAGGGAUUAGUAGGGGGAAUCAAAUAUCCUUUGGUGGAAGUGUAGAUCAAGGCUUUCUCAAGCAAUCCCUAGAAAAUCAACAAGGUUGAUUGGCUAGGGAGAGAGAUCGGGCUAAAAUGAGCUUGUAGAGCAACAAUGGAGCUUGGAGGGGUUGAAGGUGAGCUCUAGGAAGAAGAAGAUGCCUUUAUAUAGUAGGGGGGCAGAUCCACCCGUUACCCACCUACCACAUAAAUGCACGAGCGGUACUACCGCUCCUAGAGCGGUACUACCUCUACCUAGAGCGGUACUACCGCUCAGCUUCUCACCAACCACGGUAGUACCGGGAUNNNNNNNNNNGGAGCGGUACUAACGCUACCUAGAGCGGUACUACUGCUCCUGGGAGCGGUACUACCGCUCAGCUUCUCACCAACCACGGUAGUACCGGGAUACUACCGUGCCACCACCUCCUUUAAAAAGUAUGCGAGAAAAAGCUCGCCGGCGCGGUAGUAAAUUAAUACUACCGCACUAAGGGUGGUAGUACCGCCCUUGGAGCGGUAGUGAAAAACUACUACCGUACUUCGGGCGGUAGUACCGCUCCUGGAGCAGUAGUAAAAGUUUACUACCGCAUCUGGGGCGGCAAUACCGCUCUUGGAGCGGUAGUAAAAAUUUACUACCGCUCUGAGAGCGAUACUACCGAUGUGCUAGCAGUACUACCGCUGGUACAGCGAUACUACCGCUUACCCUUUUCGCAUAGGCAUAGAAACACACAUAUUGGUGCUCCAUUGAGGCCAAAAUAUAGGUGGGUGCAUGAAGUGUGUGCAUGAGGAUUCCACCCAAACCUUUCCGACGCGGACCCCCUCUUAAUACGAAGACUUUCCCAUUACUCAAACUAGGAAGAGAAACGUAGAAGAAAAUCCGUCUUCGAGAACCACCGAGGGGCGUCGAUGUUGGAAUUAUUCCCUAGAGGCAAUAAUAAAUAUAGUUAUUAUUAUAAUUCCUGUAUCAAGAUAAUCGUUUAUUAUCCAUCUAUAAUUGUAUUGCAUGAAGACUUAUAUACAUGUGUGGAUACAUAGACAAAACACUGUCCCUAGCAAGCCUCUAGUUGGCUAGCCAGUUGAUCAAAGAUAGUCAGGGUCUUUUGAUUAUGAACAAGGUGUUGCUGCUUGAUAACUGGAUCACGUCAUUAGGAGAAUCACGUGAUGGACUAGACCCAAACUAAUAGACGUAGCAUAUUGAUCGUGUCAUUUUGUUGCUACUAUUUUCUGCGUGUCAAGUAUUUGUUCCUAUGACCAUGAGAUCAUAUAACUCACUAACACCGGAGGAAUGCUUUGCGUGUAUCAAACGUCGCAAUGUAACUGGGUGACUAUAAAGAUGCUCUACAGGUAUCUCCGAAGGUGUUNNNNNNNNNNNNNNNNNNNNNNNNNNNNNNNNNNNNNNNNNNNNNNNNNNNNNNNNNNNNNNNNNNNNNNNNNNNNNNNNNNNNNNNNNNNNNNNNNNNNAUAUCAACCUUGGAAACACUUCCAACACGUAUCAUCACCUUGCCUUUAGUUAGUCUCCGUUUAUGCCGUAGCUUUCAUUUCGUGUCACUAAUCACUUAGCAACCGAACCGGUAUCCAAUACCCUCGUGCUACUAGGAGUACUAGUAAAGUACACAUCAACAUCAUGUAUAUCAAAUAUACUUCUUUCGACUUUGCCAGCCUACUUAUCUACCAAGCAUCUAGGGUAGCUCCGCCUCAGUGACCGUUCCCCUGAUAACAGAAGCACUUAGUCUCGGGUUUGGGUUUAGACUUGGGUCUCUUCAUUAGUGCAGCAACUGUUUUGCUGUUUCACGAAGUAUCCCUUCUAGCCCUUGCCUUUCAUGAAACUUAGUGGUUUUACUAACCAUCAACCAUUGAUGCUCCUUCUUGAUUUCUACUUUCACAGUGUCAUACAUCACGAAUCUCUCAAGGAUCAUUGUAUCUAUCCUUGAUAUGUUAUAGUUCAUCACGAAGCUCUCACAGCUUGGUGGCAGUGACUUUGGAGAACCAUCACUAUCUCAUCUAGAAGAUUAACUCCCACUUGAUUCAAGUGAUUGUCGUACUCAGACAAUCUGAGCACACGCUCAACGAUUGAGUUUUUCUCCUUUACUUCAUGGACAAAGAAUCUUGUCGGAGGUCUCAUACCUCUUAACAAGGGCACAAGCAUGAAAUCACAAUUUCAUCUCUUUAGAACAUCUCUUAUGUUCCGUGACGUUUCAAAACGUCUUCGGCGCCUUACUUCUAAGCCAUUAAGUAUUUUGUACUGAACUAUCGUGUAGUCAUCAGAAACGUGUAUGUCGGACGUUCACAACAUCUACAGACGACGCUCGAGGUGCAGCACACCGAGUGGUCCAUUAAGUACAUAAGCCUUCUGCGCAGCAACGAGGACAAUCCUCGGUUUUACAAACUCAGUCUGCAAAGUUUGCUACUAUCAACUUUCAACUAAAUUUUCUCUAUGAACAUAUAAAAACAGUAGAGCUAUAGCGCAAGCUACAUCGUAAUUCGCAAAGACCAUUAGACUAUGUUGAUGACAAUUAGUUCAAUUAAUCAUAUUACUUAAGAACUCCCACUCAAAAAGUACAUCUCUCUAGUCAUUUGAGUGGUACAUGAUCCAAAUCCACUAUCUCAAGUUUGAUCAUCACGUGAGUCGAGAAUAGUUUCAGUGGUAAGAAUCUCUAUGCUAAUCAUAUCAACUAUACGAUUCAUGCUCGACCUUUCGGUCUCAUGUGUUCCGAGGCCAUGUCUACACAUGCUAGGCUCGUCAAGCUUAACCCGAGUGUUCCGCGUGUGCAACUGUUUUGCACCCGUUGUAUGUGAACGUUGAGUCUAUCACACCCGAUCAUCACGUGGUGUCUCAAAACUAAGAACUGUCGCAACGGUGCACAGUCGGGGAGAACACAAUUUCGUCUUGAAAUUUUAGUGAGAGAUCACCUCAUAAUGCUACCGUCGUUCUAACCAAGAUAAGGUGCAUAAAGGAUUAACAUCACAUGCAAUUCAUAAGUGACAUGAUAUGGCCAUCAUCAUGUGCUUCUUGAUCUCCAUCACCAAAGCACCGGCACGACCUUCUUGUCACCGGCGUCACACCAUGAUCUCCAUCAUCAUGAUCUCCAUCAACGUGUCGCCAUCGGGGUUGUCGUGCUACUCAUGCUAUUACUACUAAAGCUACGUCCUAGCAAUAUAGUAAACACAUCUGCAAGCACAAACUUUAGUUUAAAGACAACCCUAUGGCUCCUGCCGAUUGUCGUACCAUCGACGUGCAAGUCGAUAUUAACUAUUACAACAUGAUCAUCCCAUACAUCCAAUAUAUCACAACACAUCGUUGGCCAUAUCACAUCACAAGCAUACCCUGCAAAAACAAGUUAGACGUCCUCUAAUUGUUGUUGCAUGUUUUACGUGGUGACCAUGGGUAUCUAGUAGGAUCGCAUCUUACUUACGCAAACACCACAACGGAGAUAUAUGAAUUGCUAUUUAACCUCAUCCAAGCACCUCCUCGGUGAAAUCCGAUUCAACUAAAGUUGGAGAAACCGACACUCGCCGGUCAUCUUUGAGCAACGGAGUUACUCGUAGUGAUGAAACCAGUCUCUCGUAAGCGUACGAGUAAUGUUGGUCCGAGCAACGGAGUUAAUUUAGUGGUUUCUGAUGGGGAACGUCGCACGGGAAACAAAAAAUUUCCUACACGCACGAAGACUUAUCAUGGUGAUGUCCAUCUACGAGAGGGGAUUUCCGAUCUAUGUACCCUUGUAGAUCGCACAGCAUAAGCGUUAAGAAACGCGGUUGAUGUAGUGGAACGUCCUCACGUCCCUCGAUCCGCCCUGCGAACCAUCCCACGAACCGUCCCGCGAUCCAUCCCACGAUCCGCUCCGAUCUAGUGCCGAACGGACGGACCUCCGCGUUCAGCACACGUACAGCUCGACGAUGAUCUUGGCCUUCUUGAUCCAGCAAGAGAGACGGAGUGGUAGAUGAGUUCUCCGGCAGCGUCACGAUGCUCCAGAGGUUGGUGGUGAUCUAAUCUCAGCAGGGCUCCGCCCGAGCUCCGCAGAAACGCGAUCUAGAGGUAAAACCGUGGAGGUAUGCGGUCGGGUUGCCGUGGCAAAAGUUGUCUCAAAUCAGCCCUAAUAGCUCCAUAUAUAUAGGAGGAGGGGAGGGGAGGCUUGGCUUGAGGCUCAAGGAGCCCCAAGGGCUGCGCCACCAAGGGAGAAGGAGUCCUCCUCCAAUCCUAGUCCAACUAGGAUUGGAAGGUGGAGUCCUUCUCUCCUUUCCCACCUUCUUUUUUUUAUUUUCUCUUUGAUUUUCUAUCUAUGGCGCAUAGGGCCUUCUUGGGCUGUCCCACCAGCCCACCAAGGGCUGGUGCGCCACCCCCAAAGCCUAUGGGCUUCCCCGGGGUGGGCUGCCCCCCCCCUCGUGAACACUCGGAACCCAUUCGUCAUUCCUGGUAGAUUCCCGGUAACUCCGAAAACCUUCCGGUAAUCAAAUGAGGUCAUCCUAUAUAUCAAUCUUCGUUUCCGGACCAUUCCAGAAACCCUCGUGACGUCCGUGAUCUCAUUCGGGACUCCGAACAAUAUUCGGUAACCAACCAUAUAACUCAAAUAUGCAUAAAACAACGUCGAACCUUAAGUGUGCAGACCCUGCGGGUUCGAGAACUAUGUAGACAUGACCCGAGUGACUCCUCGGUCAAUAUCCAAUAGCGGGACCUCGAUGCCCAUAUUGGAUCCCACAUAUUCUACGAAGAUCUUAUCGUUUGAACCUCAGUGCCAGGGAUUCAUAUAAUCCCGUAUGUCAUUCCCUUUGUCCUUCGGUAUGUUACUUGCUCGAGAUUCGAUCGUCAGUAUCCGCAUACCUAUUUCAAUCUCGUUUACCGGCAAGUCUCUUUACUCGUUCCGUAAUACAAGAUCCCGCAACUUACACUAAGUCACAUUGCUUGCAAGGCUUGUGUGUGAUGGUGUAUUACCGAGUGGGCCCCGAGAUACCUCUCCGUCCCACGGAGUGACAAAUCCCAGUCUCGAUCCAUACUAACUCAACGAACACCUUCGGAAAUAACUGUAGAGCAUCUUUAUAGUCACCCAGUUACGUUGCGACGUUUGAUACACACAAAGCAUUCCUCCGGUGUCAGUGAGUUAUAUGAUCUCAUGGUCAUAGGAACAAAUACUUGACACGCAGAAAACAGUAGCAACAAAAUGACACGAUCAACAUGCUACGUCUAUUAGUUUGGGUCUAGUCCAUCACAUGAUUCUCCUAAUGAUGCGAUCUCAUUAUCAAGUGACAACACUUGCCUAUGGUCAGGAAACCUUGCCAUCUUUGAUCAACGAGCUAGUCAACAAGAGGCUUACUAGGGAUAGUGUUUUGUCUAUGUAUCCACAGAUGCACUGUGUUUCCAAUCAAUACAAUUAUAGCAUGGAUAAUAAACGAUUAUCAUGAACAAAGAAAUAUAAUAAUAACUAAUUUAUUAUUGCCUCUAGGGCAUAUUUCCAACAAAAGGCUCGAAAUAAGUAGAUUACAAAACUAUGACAUCAAUUUGCCUAAACACGUUGGUACCGGAAAGGCUCCACAUGGGUUUUUCUUUGAUAUCGAUACUUGCACGAGGAUCGGAAGUUUUAGGUCUACGGGAUUUAUGGAUUUAUACGAUUUGUCAUCCUAGGAAUCACGUCAACUGAAGCCACUUGGGCCCCACGAGCUAACACAGCGCGCCCUAUUGACUCGUGGCCCAUAGGUAGCUCCCCUCCUAUGGUUCUUCACUCUCGUAUUUCUUAUUUCCCCCGGGAAAAAAUCAUAAAAAGGUUUGAUGUGAUUCCGAGAACUUUUAUUUUCUACACACAAAGAAACGCCAUGGUAAUUCUGCUGAAAACAACAUCAGUCCGGGUUAGAUCUAAUUAAAUCAUAUAAUGUGCAUAAAAACCAUAUAAAGGUAUUGUAAAUGUAGGUAAAUAUGGCAUGAAUAAUUCUUAAAUUAUCGAUACAUUGGAUAUGUAUCAAUCAUCAUAUUCCCUCAUUCGCUCAUCGUACUGGUCGUACUCCUCCUCAUUGGUGACUCCAUCCAUUCUGUAAUGCUCCUUUUGCCUCUCCUCACGACAACAUGGUUGGGAUUGCGAGUGUCGGUGAUGAAGAAGCAUUGUGUCACGUGCUUAGCGUGUAUCCAUGGCUCAUUUUUGGCGGUGGUGUUCACGGUAGCGAUAUUGGCGUCGGGUAUACACGUGGUAGUGAAAUGUCAGUUUUCUCUUUGUACGUUCUUAGCCCAUCUAACACGGAAUAUUGUCGGGCUAUGCACUCCAUAGUAGUGAAGCUCCCAAAUCUCUUCAACCCUUUCGUAGUAUCUUUCAUUUACAUCGCUAGUCAUGGCUUCCAUCGUCACCCUUGAGUUUUGGUUUUCACCUUUUAUAUCUUUGGCCUCCAUGUAGAACGUGUAUCCCUUGAUAUUGUAUGCCUAAUAAGUCAUGAGGUUGACUGACGGGCCAUGUGCUAAGGCGUAUAUGAACAUUCCGUUCGGACAACCCUCUUCCAAGGGAUUAGCCAGAACUUGCUCUUUGAACUAGCGCAAGAAGUGGAGAUGUGCUCUCUAAUAACUUCAACGUACGCUCUGUGCAACAUACGGUCACGGUAAUUCUUUGCGAUGGUCUCUUUGUGCAGUGUCAUGAAAUCUUCUAGCACAUCUAGGUGUCAUAAAACUACUAAGUUAGCUAUGUUAAAGUCGUGGUGUUGGCCCGAGUGGUACACAUUCAAUUCUCUCUGACUGUUCAUGUGACCUUCUCCUUUGAUCCUUCCAAAGUACUUGUUGAAGGGCAAACCAACAACAAGUUUUUUGAUGCCUAGAUAAUUUUCAUUGAAGUAGUUGCACUCUUGGGUCAGAUAGCCCUGGACGAUGCUUCCAUCUGGAUGAGACAUGUUACGAACGAAUCCUUUGAUGACCCAAUUCAUCCUCUCGAACGACAUCAUGUUGUCCACGAACGUCGGACCAAGGUCAAUGAUGUCGUCUACGAUGUGGACAAACAGAUGCACCAUGACGUCAAAGAACGUGGGUUGAAAGUACAUCUCUAGCUCACUUAGUAUGACAAUGAUCUCUUCUUGUAGCCUUUGGAGUUGCUUCACACUGAUCAACUUUCGAGAGAUAUCAUAAAAAAUGGCAUAGGUAAGCAAGUGUAUCACAUACGUGUGUGUUUGCAAAAUCCCUCUAAAUGCAACUCGGAGUAUCUGCAUCAUCAUCACGUGAUAAUCGUGACACUUCCUCCCGUUGAACCUUUUUUUCUUGGUGUCCACAUAUUUUCUUAUCUUCCAACAUUAUAUGGAACUUACUUUGGUUCUAGCAAGGCACUUGAAGAAUUGUUUGACCUCCUUUGGAUGUCACGUGAAGCAAGGGGGGGCAAUACUGUUCUCCCUUCUUGUUUGCUUUUUCCCGUAACAUUCAUCUUCGUCUCCUCCGACGACUUUUUACUCGGCAUGAGGAGAUCUUUCCUAAUAUCUAAAAUUCCAAAACUUUUCUUGCCUUCAGCCCAUCCACUACAAGGAAUAUGCUAAUACACAACGCUAUUUUUUCGUCGCUACAUCAUCGCGGUUUUUCAUUUACGACGAUCUCACAACGAAAAACCAAGCGUCAAAAACGGAGCGUCACAAAUGAACAGCAGCGAUGUUUUGAUCAAAAUUGUCGUAACUUUUACGACGAUUCCUGGAUCGUCGUAACCUUUACGACGAUCAUAAAUCGUCGUUGGCAAUCAAACCCAAUCCUACGUGGCAGUCCUACGUGGCAAAAUUACGAUGAAAUCAAAACGUCAUGGUUGAAAUCAGCCCAACUCAUUUCAAUUGAUCACAUGGGCUGGUUUUGUUUUUUUGGGGAUUUCUUAUUGGGCUUCUUUUUGGGCCUUAGCCUAUUUACAGCCACUUUAGUAUUAUUUUUUUGAAUUUUUUUAUCAUUAUAAUUUGGGCUCUGGCCUUUUAGUGCCCAGAUACAUUUGAUCCAAUUUCAGUUUUGGCCUUUUUCCAUUUUUGAAUUUAGCAACUUUUUGUUCCAAAACUUGGUUUCAUUUCUAUUUGUUGGGCCUUUUAACCCAAUUAUUUGUCCAAUAUUAAAUCCAACACUAUUUCAUAUUCAAAUCAAGAAAACUCCAAGUCGAAUUAAAAUCAUCCAUCAUAUAACAUCAUAUAAUACAUCUCCCAGGUUUACAUAACACAAUAAGCCAUCUCCUAAAUACAUUUCCGUACACUGGAAUAUAGCAAAAACAAACAGAAUUUCAUUUGAGAAAUAAAACAAUGGCACAUUUGCUACUGUCACUACAAUGGACUACUGUCACUAUAGAAAAAACAUCUGCUACUAUCACUACAAUGGACUUCAUUCCACUAGCAAAAACAAACAAAAUUCCAUUUGAGUAGGCACAAGUAGAUUCAUUAUUCCAGAUAACAACUGUUCCCUCUUUGUAGUUUCCUCGACUUCCAUCUCCGGCAAGAGCUUUGAUGACAGCAUCACAAGCAGUACUGCGAUACUCAUACAAGUCAAACAGGAAAAUUGUUGUGAUACUAGUAGCAAAUGAAGAACAAUUGUAUGCAUCGAAAAAAAGUAAGACAAGACAACUAAAUUGCAACGCAUCAGACCAACUGAGAGAAAUCAAAAAUAGCAUUUUGGUAGUUCAUUUGGUACUGAUUCAUGUCACACUUAUCUAUCCCUGAAACAUACUCAUGAAAGAAGAUGCAACUAUUCCUGUCAUAACCUCGUUAAAAUUAGUUGGCAAGAUUAAUGGAGCAAGCCAUUUAAUCAUUGUAUACUCAUGAAAGAAGAUGCAACUAUUAAUCAUAACAAAUACUCAUGCAUUCCCCAUAGAGUGUCGUUGGUCACUUUUAUCUUUACGUACAAAUGAGCAAGGGUCAUUACUCAUUACAUGCAACAUACUAUACGUUUUAUGUAAUGCAUUUAUAAUGAAAUAUAAUAUGACUGGCAAAAUCAUGAGAAAACAUGCAACUGAGAAAGACUUUAAGAAAUGCAUCUUUGUAUCAAUCCACUUCAGAACAUUGAAUAGAAUACCAAAGACAAUGAAGAGAAAAAUUCCCAGGUAAAAGGAAUGGAUGGAGACUUACAUCAAUUACAACAGGAAUAAGUACUAUCUUCGAUUCACUGUUAACAUUCAAUAAUUGAGCUGCAUAGCAACAAAAAUAAUCUCAUUAGACCAGUUAUACAAAACCACACGUCCAUAUGGAUGCUCAGGGAAUUUUUCAGUAUUAAUAAACUGUUGUCAAGUAGCUCUAAGGGAUAAUAUAAAACCACAUAUCUACACGGAUGCUCAGGGGAAUUUCAGUAUUAAUAUAAAACCACAUACCACGGGCGCCCCAGUCAACCACAUAUCUACAAGUUUAUGAUGUUACCGAAUCAACUAUGAAGUGUCAUUCUCAUGUAUAUCCUCUUUUUCAGUAUUGUAGCACCUGAGGACAAGAUGGCUGACAUGGUUCUAAUGGGUUUAUCUGCAGGCCGCAUAGACAACAAUGGGUCAUUGGUCACAGGCUCAAAGGUAACACCUAUAUGACCCCUUAUGUUGCAGCAGAGAUCUUCUCUAAUAGCGGACAAUUACAAUAAUUUGGCAAUAAAUCCUCAGUGUAACAUCCAGAAGCAUAUUGUUACCCCAGUUUUAGAUGUUGAGGGUGGACUUCUUUUAUCUGUGGUUAAGCGAUUCAUUAUUUGUUUGUACAUGUUAAUUCGGGCUUGUGAUUCAUUAUGCUUUAAUUUUCUUGCUUCUAUGUGCGUGGGUAAUUAAUCCAUAUUUUUUCAACAUGACCAUGGUAGAUUAGUUAAAUAAGUUGUGAUAGUAUCUCCAGAUAUCCUAGUUAAUAGACCGUGACCAUGUCAUCAAAGAACAUUUCUUAAAGUAUUAGUUAAUAGGCGAGCACUAUUAUCCAUAGCAUCAUGAUUAUUUUCAACACACAAAAGAAUCUCCUUAUAAGUGUUAUGAAUACUUAAUGAUUUAUGUCACAUGUUUGUGUAAUACUACAAAAAUAAGCACAAAUGAAUUUCAAGCCUGCGGAAAAUGGAAUUAUUCAAUUCUGUGUAAUCAAGAUUAUUGGUUACCUAUUAUCGUUUAGUUGGUUUCUAAAAUCAUACCAUUGUUAAUAUAAUAUGAUGUUUGGAUAAUUGUUAGUAUACUAACUACAUGCCGAUGGUACAAAAUUAAUAGCCACAUCCAAUUAUUCUAAGAUGCGCGGUGUUUUAAUAUGCAGUUUCUUAUCUAAACAAGCAAUGUAUAUUCAGAACUCGUGCAAGCAAACUGAGAGAAUCUAAUGUUGCCAGUUUACGGAAAUGUUCAAGACUCGAAGUCUCUGUGUUUCUACUUCAUAGCAUGGUGAUGGCCCUUCUGGUUUAUUAUGAUGAUUCAUAUAGUUUUAAGCUGAUGCAAGAUGCCAAAUUUUGUUAGUACAAAGAUAUAGGGUGCACUAUGUGCAAUUUUAUGAAUAAACUCAUGUUGAAAAGUUUUUCAAUUAGCCCCACAUCUAUAUAUAAAUCAAUGUCUUGGUAAGUCAUAUUUGUGAGCAUGUAUAAUAUGAGGAUUCCUACUUAUUGUAUUGCGGCUCCUAUCUAUCGGCAUUGGCCUAAUAUUCAGGCACUGCUUGUCUCUCUCGUGUCCCUUUGCCAUCUUCCAGCAGGAAUGUGCACUCACACUGUCACACAGCAGUAAAAGUAUAGAAGCAGCAGUUCACCAACCUUGCCUGCAGAGUCCAAAAGCACGGGAUGAGUGCUUACGUUAGCUAAAUAGACAACCUAGCAUAUUCCCUGUUUAUAAGAGGAUUAAUAAAUCCACAUGCUUACCAGAUCACCAACAACCAGUGAUGCGUCGAUACCCGAAACUCCUUCCCUUGUCCGCCGUUGUGACAUCCCCUGCUCGCCGCCACCGGCAUGAGAUCCCGAUGAGGGUGAGGAAAUAGAUGCAGAGGCAUCACAUAUUUUCUUAGAGGGCCUUGCUGCAACAACAACUUCCCUGUCAUGGAGAAAAUUCAAGGGUCAGGAGAAAGAACCCAAAUAUAACAGAGGCAUAACUAGUUAUUUAUUACAAAUUGUUAAAAAUUAUCAAUUUUUCGUGUGCAUGAGCAGGACAAUUUAUGGAUGUGAAUUUUACUGGGUCAUUACAAAUCACAUGCCAUGAAAUGAAAUUGAAACCAUAUACCAAAUUACAUUCCCAUCUACUUGUUGUACAUAGUACAUCCAUGGCAAGAAAAUAGCUACAAGGCAUGUUUAACUACUACACGACAAGAAAAAUAGCUGGAAGCUUACCUACCAAACGAUCUCACGACCAACGUCUGAAACUCAAUGACACUCACGAGCAAGCUCAUCAUAUUCAUCCUUGCCAACAAUGUACAGGCAGACGUCCCCGAUCAUGGUAUACACAAUGGAUACCGACCCCUGGGAAAGCACCAACAAUCAGAUAUUUAAAUGGGGAGUUAAAAGGAACAUAUGCUUGGUUCAGAUUGAAGUCAUGGCAACCAUGGAACUGGAGUUGAAGAUGCAUAUGUAGCAGCUCGAAUUCUCUGUCAUAUGGCUGAUUGUACAGAUGCCUAAAGGAAGGUUACUUUGAAAAAAAAAUCUUGCAAUUUACUGGGCUAUCAACAGCUCAUAAUACGAACGUCGUCACACAAGAAGCUAGGAGUAAUAAUGAAAAUGACAAAUCAAUAAUGUCUGAUCCAGUAACAAGUCACGUAACCGCACGUCGGUCAACUACUGACGCCAACACACAGAUACAGGUGUAUAGCAAUGGUAAUUAGAAGCUGAUCCAGUACCAAGUGCACCAUAUUCAUAUAUCAUCCAUUAAACAAACGACAAUGGGCCUGAGUAUCUAUUAAAGCUGAAGUGCCUUUUGGUGACAUGAAAGGGGUCAAAUAAUUUCUCUUGUGUAUCUCUAAUCAGUGAUGUUUGGAGAGAAAUAUGUUUGUAGUAACAGAAUUGGAAUAGAUGUUUAUCAUUUUCAUUUUACCAACAUGACAGUGCAACUACGCAGCAAUGCUUAUUCCCCACACCACAAAGGUAGUAAUGUUGCAACAUGUAUUUUUAGAAGAAGAAAAAAACUACUCCCUUCAUCGCCGACCAGGUACAGCAUCGUGGACGCCAGGUCCUUGUCCGGGUACAGCCGCCGCCGCAGCGGCAUCUCCUCCCCGGUCGCCUUCUCGGCCUUCUCCUCCCCAACAGAGACAGGGAACUUGUCCCCCAGGUGCAGGACGUGGCAGACGGCGUUCACCCUGAUCUUGUGCUUGCUGAGCUCCAUCGCCGACAGCUGAAGGAACAACGAAGAGCAUUGUGAUUAUGUUACUUGUGAAUGUAUUCAGGAUUUAUGUGGGCAUUCAGGCUGGUAUUAUAGGGAAGAAGGCUUACUCUGACGAGCUGAUGAACAACGCCUAAACUCGUGGCGUAUGCUGCAGCCCUGGAUACAAUCCUCUCUCGGCGCCGAUGAUCUGGGUCAAGCACACGACGGAACCGCCGGACUGCGCGUCCCGGAACCGCUUCGCCAUCGCCUUUAUCAGAAGCCAAGGUGUGAUUACAUUGACUUUCAUGGUCUUGUUGUACUCAUCUUCAGAUACGCUGAGGCAGUCUUGCACUUCCCCUGCACAUAUACAGUAGGCAAGGAAAACAUUCAUGGUUCAAAGAUGUUCAUGGACGAAAUUGGUGGAUGGUAAGGUAAGCUGACUGGGAGAUGGAGAGAAGAUCUGAAGUUCUGAAGAAUUGAUUAGGACGAUGAUGGGUCGGGCUUGUGCAUUUGUGAUUCUGUCACAAAUAAAACUGGGCAUGUGUAUCACGGUGUCUGUCAACGACAUGUGUAUGUGUGUAUGUGGUAGGAGGAGCAGUUGACGAGGGCGUCGAGUCCGCCGUCCCCGAAGAAGCGCCAGGCCGCGACCACCGCGACGCCAACGGCCGCCUCGUCGCAGGCUGCGACGUCCAGACCGGGAUGAGGAGGAGGAGCCGGGCGGCGGCGAGGGACUGCUGCAUGAUGCAAAGGAAGGGGAGGCCCAGGGGGCCGUCGUCGGCGGCCGGGAGGUCGGCCCAGCUGUUGAAGGACGCGGCGGAUGAGCAACCGCAGCGGGUGGGUGUGGGUGUGGAUGUGGAGGGUCGAUGCGGGCGGGAUCGGACGGGGAGGAGGAGGNNNNNNNNNNNNNNNNNNNNNNNNNNNNNNNNNNNNNNNNNNNNNNNNNNNNNNNNNNNNNNNNNNNNNNNNNNNNNNNNNNNNNNNNNNNNNNNNNNNNNNNNNNNNNNNNNNNNNNNNNNNCUUAUGUGGUUACGACGUUUUUGACUCACAUCAUCGUAAUUUAUAUGUAGAUUUGAUCCCCUCAAACGGUUUCGACAAUCUCGGAUGAAAUCGUCAUAGAUUUACGACGAAUUCAUCAACGACGUCUUAAAAAACAUCAUGUAUAAGCAUAUUUCUUGUAGUGGCAGACUGGUGCAAGCAUAUCGGAGUUGGAAUAAGCGCUUUGAUGAGGUGAUCAAAGCAUUUGUGUUUAUACAAGUGGUUAGAGAAUCUUGUAUUUACAAGAAAGUGAGUGGGAGCUCUGUGGCGUUUCGAAUAUUAUAUGUGGAUGACAUAUUGCUGAUUGGAAACAACGUGGAGUUUUUUUAGGGUGUAAAGGAUUACUUGAAUAAAAGUUUCUCUAUGAAGGGCAUAGGAGAAGCUGCGUACAUCCUAGGCAUUAAGAUCUAUAGGGAUAGAUCAAGACGCCUGAUAGGACUUUCGCAAAGCACAUACCUUGAUAAAGUUUUGAAGAAGUUCAAAAUGGAUCAAUCCAAGAAAGGGUUCUUGCCAGUGUUACAAGGUAUAAAAUUGAGUAAGACUCGGUGCCCAGGAACUGCGGAAGAUAGAGAACAAAUGAGUUUUGUCCCCUAUGCUUCAGCCAUAGGUUCUAUCAUGUAUGCAAUGUUGUGCACUAGACCAGACGUCAGCUUGGCCACAAGUAUGGCAAGCUGGUCUUAGAGUAAUCUAGGAGUGGAUCACUGGACGGCGGUCAAGAAUAUUCUGAAGUACCUGAAAAGUACUAAGUAAAUGUUUCUCAUUUAUGGAGGUGACGAAGAGCUCAUCGUAAAGGGUUACAUCGACGCAAGCUUUGACACUGAUCCGGAUGACUCUAAGUCUCAGACCGGAUACAUAUUUAUUCUUAAUGGGGGUGACGUAAGCUGGUGCAGUUCCAAGCAAAGCGUUGUAGCAGAUUCUACAUGUGAAGCGGAGUACACGGCUGCCUCGGAGGCAACAAAGGACGGUGUCUGGAUGAAGCAGUUCAUGACGGAUCUUGGAGUUGUGCCAAGCGCACUAAAUCCAAUAACUUUCUUCUCUCACAACACGGGUGCCAUUCCUCUAGCAAAGGAACCAAGGUUUCACAAGAAGACCAGGCACAUCAAACGACGCUUCAACCUCAUCCGCGACUACGUCGAAGGAGAGGACGUGAAUAUUUGCAAAGUGCACACGGAUCUGAAUGUAGCAGACCCGCUGACUAAACCUCUUCCACGGGCAAAACAUGAUCAACACCAGAACUGUAUGGUUGUUAGGUUUAUUACAAUGUAAAUCGCAUGGCGAUGUGAGGAAUAGAUUAUUUACUCUAGUGCAAGUAGGAGACCGUUGGAAAUAUGCCCUAGAGGCAAUGAUAAAUAGUUAUUAUUUUAUUUCCUAUUUAAACAUAAUCGUUUAUUAUCCAUGCUAUAAUUGUAUUGAAUGAAAACAUAGAUACAUGUGUGGAUACAUAGACAAAACAAUGUCCCUGGCAAUCCUCUAGUGGGCUAGCCAGUUGAUCAAGGAUAGUCAAGGUUUUCUGACAAUGUGCAAGUGUUGUCACUCGAUAACUGGAUCACUUCAUUGGGAGAAUCAUGUGAUGGACUAGACCCAAACUAUGAACGUAGCAUAUUGAUUGUGUCAUUGUAUUGCUAUUGUUUUCUGCGUGUCAAGUAUUUAUUCCUAUGACCAUGAGAUCAUAUAACUCACUGGAACCGGAGGAAUACCUUGUGUGCAUCAAACGUCACAACGUAACUGGGUGAAUAUAAAGGUGCUCUACAGGUAUCUCCGAAGGUGUCCAUUGAGUUAGUAUGGAUCAAGACUGGGAUUUGUCACUCCGUGUGACGGAAAGGUAUCUCAGGGCCCACUCGGUAAUACAACAUCACACACGAGCCUUGCAAGCAAUGUGACUAAGUGUAAGUCACGUGAUCUUGUAUUACGGAACAAGUAAAGAGACUUGCCGGUAACGAGAUUGAAAUAGGUAUGCGGAUACCGACAAUCAAAUCGCUGGCAAGUAACAUACCAAAGGACAAAGGGAAUGACAUACAGGAUUAUAUGAAUCCUUGACACUGAGGUUCAACCGAUAAGAUCUUCAUAGAAUAUGUAGAAUCCAAUAUGGGUAUCCAGGUCCCGCUAUUGGAUAUUGACCGAGGAGUGCCUCGGGUCAUGUCUACAUAGUUCUCGAACCCGCAGGGUCUGCACACUUAAGGUUUGAUGAUGUUUUAGUAAAGUUGAGUUAUAUGUGUGGUUACCGAAUGUUGUUCGGAGUCCCGGAUGAGAUCACGGACGUCACGAGGGUUUCCGGAAUGGUCCGGAAAUGAAGAUUGAUAUAUAGGAUGGUUUCAUUUGGUCACCGAAAAGUUUCGGUCAAUUUCGGCAGUGUACCGGGAGUGACGAAUGGGUUCUCGGUGUUUACCGGGAGGGGCCCACCCACCCGGGAGUGAAUCCAAGGCCCUAGGGUGGCGCACCAAGUCCCUAGUGGGAUGGUGGAGUCAUCCCAAGAGGGCUAUGGCGCCACAUAAUAAAAUACCAAACCCCCCCCCCCCCCCAAGAAAAAAAGGAAAGAGGGAGGUAGGAAGGAAGAGGAGGACUCCUCCUUCCCAAACCGAAUUGGAGGAGGAGUCCUCCUCCUCCUGGCGGCCGACGCACCUUGAGACCCUUGUGCCUCAAGGCUUUCCCCUCCCCUCCUCCUAUAUAUAGUGGUGGUUUAGGUCUUUUUGAGAUACAACUUUGCCACGUGCAACUCAAGGCUAUUCCACAUAGUUUUACCUCUAGAUCGGAUUUCUGCGCAGCUCGGGCGGAGCCCUGCAGGAGUAGAUAGUCACCACCAUCGGAGCGCCAUCACGCUGCCGGAGAACUCAUCUACUUCUCCGUCUUGCUUGCUGGAUCAAGAAGGCUGAGAUCAUCGUUGAGUUGUACGUGUGCUGAACGCGGAGGUGUCGUCCGUUCGACGCUAGAUCAGAACAGAUUGUGGGACGGAUCGCGAGACGAUUCGUGGGACGGUUCAAGGGACAUGAAGACGUCCCACUACAUCAACCGCGUUUCUUAACGGUUCCCGCUGAGCGAUCUACAAGGGUACGUAGAUCUAAUCUCCACUCGUAGAUGGACAUCACCAUGAUAGGUCUUCGUGUGCGUAGGAAUUUUUUUGUUUCCCAUGCAACGUUCCCCAACACUUUUCUCUGCAGAAUCACCCAUGAAUCCAACAAAGAACACAAGCUAAAUAUUAAAUUUUAUAGGACUCAAAAUGAAGACACGUUGAAAGCAUGUUUUGUUCCCUGUCUUCCAAAUUGUCCAGAUCAAAGCAGUAGCACCAAUAGAAACAAUAGCCCUAUCCUUACUAGAAUAGGAUGGUAUCUAGUUUUGACACAGAUCAAAGAAGGGAUCCUAUUAUUCUCCGUAUGUUUAUCAAUGUUCCAAGAAAACUCUUGAGGAUAUUCUUCAUGAUAUGCAUUUGAUCAAGGCCAUAAGGCGUGUCGAGUUUGGGCCAGUACUCCAAGUCACAGAAAACAUACCUCGUUUUCCAUACCUUCAGCAACAUCUCCGUCACUUUUUUUAUUCGUAUUUCCUGGCGAGGGUCACUCUUCCUAGUUCUUGAACAACUCACUGAUUUCGAUGCCGCUCCGCUAACGUGGAGGUCCUCGAUGCUCAACCUUACUAUUGAAUAGAUAUUCACGCUUUCUCCAGGAUCAUUCUUCUUGAGCCAUCUUAGAUGCCCCAUGUACAUGCUUUUUGAAGACCCUCCAUCUUUUGAUAGCUGCUGAGACGUUGUACCAUCCAUGAACCUCGUGCAUCCGCCAUUUCUGUGACAGGCGUGGCUUGCGACAUAGCCGUAACCGAGAUAGUCAUGCACCGUCAUGAUCUCAGCACGUCUCUCAUGUCAAAAUACUCUCAUUUGAUGGUGUCCCAUCUCUUGCUCGGUGUUGUCCAUAACGUGUGUAGAUCCUCUUUCAGUAACCCGAGAUACAGAUUCAUAUCAUGCAUGCGUGCAUGCAAAAAAAUUCAACGUUGCCCAGCCUGCGUGAAGCAAAACAAUUAUAACCAUGUAUGCAUGCAUGCAACAAAUUCAUACAAAAACGUGACAUGACCUACCCUAAACAUAGUACAAACCGAGUUUGUCCAAAAGUCAACGAAACGGAAAUGAAUCGACACUUCGGCAAAAGAUAGGCAACUCAUGGCAUGCACAUCUCAAUAAAUACACAAUAUACGCAACUCACAUGCCACACACACACAAUUCGAUAUCAUCGAGCAUAUAUAGCUCGGUCCUAUAACGUGUGCGCACAAACACACCCCCCCCCCCCCCCACAAAUUUCCAUUGUUGCACAACUCUUCUUUUUCCUCGCCUGUGUCAAGAGAGAUCAAGCACGGUGAAUUUGUUAAAUUUUCCUUCUUAAUUAGCUAGUAGAUCUAGAUAGUGAGGUAGCUAGAUAACUCUAAUUAGGGAGAGAGAGAGAGAGAACAAGCUAGUGGAGGGCUAAAAUACAAAAGAAAUGGAGGAGGGGGUCAUUAAUUAAUGGAGGUGGUGGAGGGCAUUAAUUAAUGGAGGUGGGAGGGCAAAGAAAGAGAUAGGGGGAGGGGAGCAUUAAUGGAGGUGAUGGAGGGGCAAAGAAGAGACAGGGAGAAGGGGGAGCUUCGAAGGAAGAAGCAAGUGGAAGAGAAGGUGGGGAGAAGAAGAGGGGGAAAGACGGAAGAUAUUAUGUGGUUGGUGACCAUAGAGGUAACGUUGGAUAGGGAAACACGCUACUACUAAUUUCACUAGUAGUAGCGCUAGGAGCAACCUAGCGUUGUUGCUACUUGGGGCCCACCAGGUUACACGUAGAAUAGUAGUAGUAACGCGAUUCUGCGGCAGCGCGCUACAUCUACACUAAUAGUUGUAGAGCUGGGUAUGGUCUAAGCAUUGCUACUUUUAUCCUGACCGUGGGGUACCAUUCGACCCACUUAGCAACAUCGCUCUUUGCUAUACAAAGCACUACUGCUAAACUGUACCAGUAGCUCUCUUUCAUCGUAGUGCUACUAGUACUCUACAGUACAACGUUGGACCUCACAAGCGAUAUUAGUAAAAUUCUACCUAUAAGCUAUUUCCUACUAGUGCCACCAAAAUACAAGCCUCUCGCUCAACAUCCUUCUCCCUUGUGCCACAUCCACCAUGAAUACACGCGGCAACGCUCUGUGGGAGAGCCUGUUGAUGGAGAAAAAGCACGAGGUGGACGCCGUUACAGCCGCCUAGCAAAGUCAUCAUGCCACGUGGAUCGAGGGCAACAUGCCGGCCAGCUCGCCCGAGAUCUUCGAUGAUGAGGACGACCCCAUGAUGGAGGCGGGCUCCAACGACACCACAAUGGACCAUGCACAUGUGCAUGCCGGCUUCACCAUAGAGCAGACACAAGUGCACUUGAAUGCACUUAUGGCGGACGAGCGGCCUAUGCUAUCGCCUAUGUUGGUGUUCCAACACGCUCAUGAGGAAUAGUGAUACAACAUGUUCCGCCUCAAGCAACACCGGCUGGCAGAGGGCAAAUCAGCGGCGAGUGUGCGAGCAAGUAGGCCAUGACAGCUAUGGCCGCGGCAUACCCCAACUUCAUUGGGAGUAGAAUGCGAUCUACAACGCCCCCUGUGCUCAAGCCGCCACUCACUAGGAAGCGGCUACUGCGGAGGCGCCGCUGCACGCGUCGCUGGCGAGAACAACGCGGGUUGCGCCUCCUGUGCUUCAUCGAUGAACUAUUGAUACGUCUCCAACGUAUCGAUAAUUUAUGAAGUAUUCAUGCCAUAUUUGCCUAAGUUUACAAUAAUUUUACAUGGUUUUGAUGCAUUUUAUAUGAUUUAUUUACAACUAAUCCGGACUCACGUUGUUUUGAGCACAAUUACCAUGGUGUUCUUUUAGUGCAAAAAAUAAAAGUUGUCAAAAUCGCGAGAAACUUUUUUAUGUUUUUUUAGGAAAAAUAAGAAAUUUCGGAGCAAAGAACCACUAGAGGGGGGCCACAAGCAAACAGGACGCGCCCACCCCCAUGGGCGAGCCCUGAUGUGUGGUGGGGCCCACGUGGCUCCGGCUCGCGUAAUUCCAACGCUAAAAAAUCCUAUAAAUCUCAAAAUCCUUAGAAACUAGGAGAGAACUUCCGCUCAACCGCGCAACUCUCUGUAUCGAAAAAAACCAUCUAGAGCCUUUCGAGUACAUUGUCGGAGGGGGAAUCAUCUCCGGUGUCCAUCUUAAUCAUCCCGGCGGAGGCCAUGAAGAGGAGGGAGUAGUUCACCCUCAGGGCUGAGGGUAUGUACCAGUAGCUAUGUGUUUAGUCUCUCUCUUGUGUUCUUGAGAUGGCACGAUCUUGAUGUAACACGUGCUUUGUUAAUAUAGUUGGAUCAUAUGGUGUUCUUCCCUAGCUAUCUUAAUGUGAUGAACUGAAUCUUUUCCUUUGAUAUUUUGUUAUGUUGGAUUGAAUACUUUGGGUUUGAGAACAGUUGAUGUAUGUUUUGCAUGCGGAUGUCCGUAGUGAUAAUGGCGUAUUCUAUUGGUUCGGUUGAUAUAUGUUAUGGCAUUAACUUGCGGAUUCCGAUGACCUUGUGGAUCUAUGCAUAGGGGUUGAUUGCAUAUUUUCAUCCUACCUUCUCCGAUAGAAAUCUUGGAGUACUCUUCGAAAUUCUUUGUGUUCGAUCGAAUAUGAGGAAUAGGCUGAGGGUAUGUACUAGUACCUAUGUAUUUCAUCUCUCUCUCGUGUUCUUGAGAUGUCAAGAUCUUGAUGCAUCACGGGCUUUGUUAGUAUAGUUAGAUCAUGCGGUGUUUGUCCCUCGCUAUUUUGAUGUGAUGAAUUGAAUCUUUACCUUUGAGAUUUUGUUAUGUCAGAUUGAAUAUUGGAUUUAAGAUCACUUGAUAUAUGUUUUGGUACUCAACUUGCGGAUUCCUGUCAUGACAAUGGGUUAAUAUAUGCAUAGGUGUUGACACACGUUCUUGUCUUACUUUCUCUGAUAGAAAUCUUAGAGUACUCUUUGGAGUUCUUUGUGUUGGAUUUAAUAUGAUGAAUCUGAAAUUGUUUUAUGCAUGUUGAAUAAUUAAUCAAAGGAUACUUGAGGUGAUAUUGGAGUAUCUAGGUGAUAUUAGGGUUGAUUAAUAUAUAUCAUAUGUGUUAUUCCAGUACAAACUUUUGGCGUGUUUUUGACACUUAUAAGAAUACCUUAAUAGAUUGAUCGGAAAGAAUAACUUUGAGGUGGUUUCACUACCUACAACAAUUUCAUCUUAUGUUCUCCGCUAUAUAUGAACUUUGGAGUGACUCUUUGCAGCACGUUGAGGGAUGAUCAUAUGAUUCUAUUAUGUUAGCAUUGUUGAGAGAUUGCACUAGUGAAAUUAUGAACCCUAGGCCUUGUUUCUAAGCAUUAAUAUACAAUUUUGCUCCCUAUUUACUAAUUAUUACACUGGUGUCUUUAUUUACUGAGAUUAUAAAAAUCUGUUUUACUAUCCAUACUAUACUUGUAUCAACAUCUCUUCGUCGAACUAAUGCACCUAUACAAUUUUUCAUUGUAUUGGGUGUGUUGGGGACACAAGAUAUUUCUUGUAUUUGAUUGCAGGUUUAUUUGAGAGAGACCAUCUUCAUCCUACACCUUCCAAAAUUGAUAAACCUUUGGUCAUCCACUUGAGGGAAAUUUGGUGCUCUCGUACAAAACUCUACACUUGGAGGCCCAGCAACAUCUACAAGAAUAAACUUGCAUAGUAGACAUCAACUAUUAGGCGGACAUGUUCGAUGACGACAACAUUGGCGCCACCAUUUUCAUCGUGGACCUCAUGUCUACCAGCACCGGCGACAAACAAGUCACGGACUCCUACGAGGUUGAGUAGAGCAUGGGAUGUGGCACGGCCUUGUGUCCCAUGUGGGCCAGUUUGUCGCCAUGUUCUAGUCUUUCUCUUUGGAGACGACAACUUCACUUCAACGGUCUUAUAGCCGGUGCUCAUGAGGAUGAGGGAUGGAGGACGAUAAGGCCUUAUACGCCAUUGUAGGAUAGGCUUUGGUUCGUAAUGCUUUUUUUAUAAAUGUUUGGAGUGUGAUUAAAAUAUUACAUGUUUGUAUGAAUGUCGUCCGGUUUGUAUGCAAUCCACCGUGUUCGUACGAAUUUCUCCCGAUUAGUUCAACUAGUUGUUGAAAUGUAUGUGACCGACGGCUGAAUGGUGGCCUUCAGCAUCAAUGUCCGUGUACUGGUCCCCCUUUCCACGGACGAAUAACGAUGAAAAUAUACGGGUUCGGUGUUGAAGAUGUACUAACUAGUCAGUGGACUCACGUGAGCUUGGUUAGAUUAAACUGGUCAAUGGGAAAUUGAAACUAAAAUAAUUGCACAAUCAACACCAACUUGAAGCGUACUAUUUCCUAUAAAAUAAAAAGGAGGAAGUACUAGAUAAAAAUGUUUUCUUUUUUCUGCAUGACAAUAUGUGUCUCAUUCAUAUCAUAAAGAUGAAAGUACAAGUCACGUAAAAACCGACAUGACAAAACUGGAAAGAUAGUAGAACAUUUGCGAGCUUGACACGCCUCUCACCUGCCUCCUGCACCACCACAUCAGCCACCGAAGAAUAGAAUGAUAGAUCACCUCCUCACCCGAGCUCGAGGCGGCUCCAUCGCUGAUAUGCAGUUUGGAGACCUCCAUGGUAGCUUACCAAAAGUGAAGCCCUUACUGUUGAACAAAUCAGACAAGGGCAACACCCUGGACACGCCAUCGAACUGCAGAUCUGUCACCUCACCACGACUAAGACGUCAAAGGAGGAAACCAUAUCUGUUGUCCACGAAACACAAACCCAGCACACGUUCCGGCUUCCAAAUGUCGUCGAUGCAGACCACAAUCAGCAUCCACUCCUGGACUACCUCCCAAGCUCUGGGUCGAAGCUGGAGCAAACGCCAUCGCAAAGCGAAUCCCAAGGACACAGGUCCACUACGAGGAUGCCGCUACCGCCAUGCCAUCCUUGCUUGAACAGACUGCUUUCAAAAUCCAUCCUCGAUCAUUGGACCGAUGACCUCGUCAGGGAAGGAUCCAAAAAUAUUUAUUCAAUGUUACCAUCAUCGCCGUUGAAGCGAGGACGAUGAACACCCUAAAAAAAUCUAGACUACAAAAAUUAAAAACGAUUCACACACGUGGAUCCGACGACUUUCCUCAUCAGUGACGAUUGAGGUCGCCGAUGGACGGGAGCCAUCGGAGGUCGGUGCUGGAAGAUUGUCUCUCUAUCGAAGGCUAGGGUUGCAACUGCGACAAGAACUCCUACUGAUGCUCAUAAAAAGGUUUUCCAAGAACAAUGAUACAUCAAAGUAUUAGGCUGGUUGUAAUGCGGAGUAUCAUAUACUAGUAUCAUGCAUAUGAUACUAGGAUAGGAUACUACAUCCGUGUUAGGGCAUAUUUCUCCCAAGUGGUUUUAGUGAUUGAUGACAAUUGUUGUGCGGACUAAUCUUGUGUCCUGAGCAUUUCAGAAUAUUCUCUUCUAGGCACAAGAUGACUCGAUGCCCCUCGGAGGUUCUCGAAGACGGAUUUUCUUCUAUGUUUCUCUUCCUAGUUUGAUUCAUAGGAAAGUCUUCGUAUUAAGAGGGGGUCCGCGUCGGAAAGGUUUGGGUGGAAUCCUCACGCACACACUUCAUGCACCCACCUAUAUUUUGGCCUAAAUGGAGCACCAAUAUGUGUUUUCUAUGCCUAUGCGAAAAGGGUAAGCGGUAGUAUCGCUGGCACAGCGGUAGUGCCGCUCUCAGAGCGGUAGAAAUUUUUUACUACUGCUCCAAGAGCGGUACUUCCGCCCCAGAUGCGGUAGUAAACUUUUACGACUGCUCGAGGAGCGGUACUACUGCCCGAAGUACGGUAGUAGUUUUUUACUAGUGCUCCAAGGGCGGUACUACCGCCCUUAGUGCGGUGGUAUUAAUUUACUACCGCGCCGAUGGGCUUUUUCUCGCAUACUUUUCCAAGGAGGUGGUGGCACGGUAGUAUCCCGGUACUACCGUGGUUGGUGAGAAGCUGAGCGGUAGUACCGCUCCCAGGAGCAGUAGUACCGCUCUAGGUAGCGUUAGUACCGCUCCAGGAGCGGUAGUACCGCUCGUGCAUUUAUGUGGUAGGUGGGUAACGGGUGGAUCUGCCCCCCUACUAUAUAAAGGCAUCUUCUUCUUCCUAGAGCUCACCUUCAACCCCUCCAAGCUCCAUUGUUGCUCUACAAGCUCAUUUUAGCCCGAUCUCUCUCCCUAGCCAAUCAACCUUGUUGAUUUUCUAGGGAUUGCUUGAGAAAGCCUUGAUCUACACUUCCACCAAAGGAUAUUUGAUUCCCCCUACUAAUCCCUUGCGGAUCUUGUUACUCUUCGGUGGUUGAGCACCCUAGACGGUUGAGGUCACCUCGGAGCCACAUUCCAUUGUGGUGAAGCUCCGUGGUCUUGUUGGGAGCCUCCAAGCUUUGUGUGGAGAUUGCCCCAACCUUGUUUGUAAAGGUUCGGUCGCCGCCUUCAAGGGCACCUAUAGUGGAAUCACGGCACCUUGCAUUGUGCGAGGGCGUGAGGAGAAUACGGUGGCCCUAGUGGCUUAUUGGGGAGCAGUGUGCCUCCACACCGCUCCAGCGGAGACGUACUUGGUGUCAAAGGGAAGGAACUUCGGUAACACAUCCUCGUCUUCAUCGGUUCCACUUGUGGUUCUCCCUUACCUUUACUUUGCAUUUGUUAUUGUUGUAGAGUAUCUCUUACUUGCUUCUUUACUCAUUGUAAGUAGCAUCAUAUAGGUUGCUCACCUAGUGCUAUUUUAGAGAACCUUUAUGUUGCUAAUCCUUAUUUGUUAAGAAAAGCUAAAAAUUGGUAGUUGCCUAUUCACCCCCCCCCCCUCUAGUCAACCAUAUUGAUCCUUUCAAUUGGUAUCAGAGCCACGUCUCUUUAUUAAGGGUUUCACCAGCCGAAGAGUAUGGAAGGCGAAGAGGGAGUUCCCCAUGGGCAACCCGAGGCCAUGGACUUGACUUCGGUCACAAGGGACGACUUGAAUACGGCUAUGGCCGCCCUCAAGACGUCCUUGACGAACGAAGUCAAGACCAUGCUUAAAGAGUUAAUUGAGGGAAUUAAAAGUUCACCCGAACCGGCGUUGGUGGUUAAACCCACCAACACAGAUUCAGAGGCCAAUUUCUCUAAGGAAGCGGCUAAAGGUAUGCGACCUUCCUCUUCUCUCGAAAAGGAUGGGACUGGAACCUAUGCCUCAGUUCCACCUCCCAUGGUCUAUGGAGGACCUGUUCCCACACCGCAUCUUAACCCUGUUGGUCCUCCUCCUAAUCUUGUUAAGGGUGCUUUUGCUAACUGGGUGUUUUCUAUUAAUUCUCAUUUGAAUCACAGCUCAACAAAUUUAUGGAGAAUCAUCGAGCAAGGCUACUAUCCUCAUGACCCAAGCAACCUCACUCCAAGAGAAGAAGCGGACAAUCAAUAUAAUCACUCCGCAUUGUUUAUUCUACAGUCCGUAGUACCUCCUGAAGAUCUUCCUCACUUGCGCCCCUUCACUCUAGCUAAGGACUGUUGGGAGCACAUUAUGGUGUUGUACAAGGGAAGCUCAAGCAUUCAACGUUCAAACUAUGAAGUGGUACUUGAUAAGGCCGAUGAGUUUGUGAUGAAGGAAGAUGAGGACCCUCGUGAUCUCUAUCGAAGGGUGACUUCUAUUGCAGUUGCUCUCAAGGAUCAUGGCAGCAAGGAUGUGGAUGACACAUGGAUCAAGUGCAAGUUUCUCAAGGCCAUCAUGCCUUUCAACAAAGCCAUGUCAUCAGUCAUUCGCCAAUGACCAGAUUUCCACUCCUUGUCUUCCAGUGAGGUGUUGGAUGAAUUCAUUGCAAUGUCAAUCAUGAACGAGACCGCUGACAAUGCACUUGCUCGAGUUCGGUCAAAGACAGCUUCACCUAACCUUGGUUUAAAGGCAAAGGCUGCUUCUGAAGAAGAAGAAGAGGAUGAGGAAGAGGAGAGCUGCCCUGAAGACAUUAAGUAUGCUUAUCACGAGCACAUGGCUCUUGCGUCAAGGCAAUUUUGGGGCAACAAGAGGAACUCAAGACCCAACUUCACCAAGAACAACUCAAGUGGGUUCAAACCCAAGCAACGAGUGAGGACAUGCUAUAACUGCGGUAAUGUGAGCCACUUCAUGGCAGAAUGUCCCUAUGAGAAGAGGGAAGAGAACGGAGGCAAGCUCAUUCGCAAAGACAAAACAAAGUCAUUCCCAAGCAAGAACAACUUUGUUAAGAAACCCCAUCCAAAGGGUAUGGUGGCGCUUGAAGAGUACCCCUCCGAUGAUGAUGAUGAUGAUAUGGUGGCAACUGCGACUGUCGCUAUUGCCACCCCUUCUCCCAAGAAUGUGUCUCUCUUCAACGCCCCCAACGAUAAUCACAUUGCCAAGUGCCUCAUGGCCAAAGGUAUCGAUCAGGUAACACCCAGCAUUAAGACCAACAUCACUAGUGCUCCCUCAUUGUUGAAUUGUGUUGAUGAUAGUGAUGUUGUGGAACUUAAUGAGCAUGCUCUUGACAAAUUUCUGUGUACUAUCAAAGGAGAAACCAAAAGGCACUUUUUUGCUCUUUUGGAACAACUGGGUGAGGCUAAUGACCUCAUCGAGUCUCAUGAGGAGACCAUCUCCGAGAUGCAAGGACAUGGUCGUGACUAUGCCGAUGAGAUUGUUGAACUAUCUAUUGCACUAGAAAAGGAGCGCACUCUUCAUUUGGCUCCUGAGGAGUCAUACAACGAUGACUGCGCUAAAUUGCAAAAGAAACUAGAUCAUACUACUGUUCUUACUCGUAUGCUUAAGUCUGAAAAGGAUGCUCUUGGGGUUGACCAUGACAGACUCAAAAUGGAGUUUGACACACUUGACAAGGCUCACAAGGUCUUGAAAGGUAGUCAUUUCUCCCAGAAAGAGUCUCAUGAUCAACUCCAAGCAAAGCUUACCAAGGAAAUCUCUACUUGUCCUCCUUUUGUUUUAAUUGAUAAUGCUUGUACAACUAACCCUUGUUGUGAGCAUGUACAUCUUGUGGAGGAAAAUGCCAAGUUGAGGGAUAAACUUGAGAAGGGCCUUGUGUCAUGCAUCCAAGGCAAGAAGAGCCUGAACGACCUUUUGAGCAAUCAAAAGGGUGUGGUAGGAAAGGAGGGGCUUGGACUUACAUCCAAGUCUAAAAUAAAAAGGAAGAACAGGAACAACCGAUCGCCCACCCUCAUGGACAUCUUUGUCAAAGAGGGCGAAGGGACUCACGAGGUGAACAGGAACAGGGUGGAAAAUGGGAGCAUCAAGAAGGGCAAAACUAUUCCUACCAACACAGCCGGCAAACUCAAUCCUUCCUAUGUUUUAUGUCGUGCUGGUGAUGGGCAUGUUUAUGCCAGAUUUGUUGGUUCUUACUAUGAGUUCAUUGAAUGUGCUAUUUGGGUUCCUAAGACCCUUGUCUCUAACAUUAAAGGACCCAUUCAAAAAUGGGUACCUAAACCAAGCCUUGAUCUAUUGCAGGAGUUUGCUUCCGGUGGGGUGUCAUGGUUGCUCGAUAGUUGAGCAACAAAUCAUAUGACCGGAAGAAAGACUUAGUGGUGAUUGUGCAUCCUUCCCCAUCUAUGCCCACCCAUGUCCAAUUCGUCGAUGCUUCAUCGUCAAAGCUAUUGGGAUUUUGUAAGGUGGUCAUCUCUCGAGAGUUAUCUAUUGAGAAGGUCAUGCUUGUUGAGUCCCUUGCUUACAAUUUACUUUCGCUUCGUCAACUUGCAAUUAUGGGAUUUUCCACAUUCUUUAAUCUUGAUACCGUGGUCCUUUUGUGGAGCAAGACUCUUAAAGUAGCAUAUGUUGGAUAUGUCGAAAAUGGUCUCUAUGUGGUGAACUUUUCAAAGCGACCCACUAAGACAGCGACUUGUCUAAUGGCUAAAGUUGAUGUGGGUUGGCUUUGGCAUCGCCGACUAGCUCAUGUCAAUAUGAGAUCUUUGCGAAGUCUCCUCAAAGGGGACCAUAUUCGUGGACUAACAAAUGUGAGUUUUGCCAGAGAUCAUGCUUGCAGUGCCUGCAUUGAAGGAAAGAUUCAUGAAACUGCUCAUCGUCCAACGACUCUCAUUUACACUAAGAGGCCGUUGGAGCUCCUUCAUAUGGUUCUCUUCGGUCCCCCAUCAUUUGAUAGUCUUGGGGGCAGAAAGUACUGCUUGGUGAUUGUUGAUGAUUACUCAAGAUACACCUGGGUAUAUUUCUUCAAGAGGAAGAGUGAGACUCAACAAACUAUUAUCAACUUUGCUCAUGAAGCUCAAUGUCAACAUGAAGCAAAGAUUUUGAUGAUUAGAAGUGACAACGGCACCGAGUUCAAGAACUACACCUUGGAUGAGUUUCUAGGUGAUGAGGGAAUAAAACAUCAGUAUUCGGCACCAUAUACCCCUCAACAAAAUGGUGUGGCGGAAAGGAAGAACCGGACAUUGAUGGACGCUGCAAGAACAAUGAUGGCGGAAUUCAAAUCUCCAUAUAACUUUUGGGCCGAAGCCAUCAACACAGCAUGUCAUGCGUCCAAUCGGCUCUAUAUCCAUAAAGGCUUGAACAAGACCCCAUAUGAGAUUCUCACCGGAAACAAACCCAAUCUCAAUUACUUCCGGGUAUUUGGGUGUAAGUGUUUUAUUCUCAAGAAAGGUGCACGUUUAGCUAAAUUUGAUUCUAGAGCACAUGAGGGCAUCUUUGUUGGUUAUGCUACAAACUCUCAUGCUUACCGUGUCCUCAACAAGUCCACCAGACUCAUUGAGGAGACGUGUAACGUGGAGUUUGAUGAAAAUAAUGGCUCCCAAGUGGAGCAAAGUGGUGUUUGUGAUGUAGGUGAUGAAAUUCCUCCCCAAGCCAUAAGAAGAAUGGGGAUUGGUCAAAUACUCCCCAUUGAGGAACCCCUUGUGGCCAAAGGAGAAGGACAA